rnacentral:lncRNA from 1 species
CUCCCCUCACUCACCCCCUCUCUAACUCACCCGCUCUGUCUCUCUAAUUCUUAUCCCUCCUCUCAGUCACCCGCUCUCUGACUCACCCGCUCUGUCUCUCUCACUCUUACCCACGAAGCUCGUUCCCCUCACACUCACCCCCAAGCUCACUGUCAAAAUUUUGCUCAGAUCUCAGCUAACACAUCAUCAUAACCGCAACGAUGACGCUAGGCUCAGGAGGAUCCAGUGUUGUGGGUCAGUUUCUUCUCUGAUCUUGCCCUUUUUUGUUCAAUCUGUUUAUGCCCUUGAUUGAUUUAUUCUCUUUGUUUUGGGUGGCUUUGUGCAGUCUUAUGAACAUUUUUUUUGGCAUAAAUGCAUGCGGGUUGCUAAGUUUGAUUGUUAAUUAGACCUGAUCCGCAAUUCUAUGCGUUUUUGAAUUUUUGAUCGCGAAAUUUAGUUAAUUUAAUUUAAUAGUGUUAGAUCAUCAUCACUAUUAAAUUAAUAGUUAAAGAAAUUCUUUUGACACGGCCUUUAUGAAACCUUGUAUGUGAUACUUUGCUUAUAAAAGUAUUUGGAUUGUUUUUUGUAUUUAUAUUUUAAAAUUACUAGAAACAAGUUAUUGGAAGUGUGAUACUUUGUGAAAUGUUAAAACCUUAUGAUUUGGUUGUAAUUUUGUUUUUGCUUAUAUAUGUUUACGUUUGUUGGCAGUAAAGCAUAUAUUGCUAAUCCAGUAAUUGCAGCUUGAUUCUAAGGUUCUUUUACUUUAUUAUGCAAGGUAACAAAAUUAAUCAAAUUAUGAAUAAAAUCUUUUACACUACACAAAAAUUUAUGCCAUUUAGUGCAAGAAAAGUUAUUUGAUUGAAAUGAAAUAAUAUAAUUGUAAAAAUUAACAAAGUCAAAUAAAUUAUACGCAACAAUCUAAAUCUUAUAAAUUCUUAAAAAUUCCUACUCUUUGUAUAUGAUAAGGUAAGAAUUUUGAGAUCAGUCUUCAGUUUGACAAAAAAAUUAUAUCCGAACUCAUAGUCUUUCCUUAGGGAAGCAAAGAAAUUCGUGACCAAUAAUGUGAUCAUAUAACCACUAGGUAAGAAAAUUAUGUAUCAUACAUAAGUCAAUAAUUAGAUUUUUUAAAAGUUAAUUACAGUAUUAUUGAAUGACAACCUAAUUUUCUCCUACCCAUGUGAGCUAAGCGCUACAUAAGAAUGAGAUUUUUUGAAUAAUAACAAAAAGUACAAGUAAAUAAAAUAUAUUUAUUUAAGCUAAAUGCUACAUAAGAAGUUCCUUUUAUAUACUAGUCUCUGUCUCUCUUCCUCUCUCUCUUUCUCUCUCAUACUAGUCUCUCUCUCUCUCUCUCAGGAGUAUUUUAUCGUACAAUCUAAGUAUUUUUUUAAGUUCAUUUUUUAAAAGAUUGGAGAGUAGAUCAAAUCUAAAUCAAUUUUUUUAGUCUUUACCUCCCCUAAAAUUCAAAAUGUAUUAACUAGCUAAAUAAAAAUACUUGAAAAUUGUUUGACUAAGUCAUUGAGGCCAUAAUUUAAACACUGAUAGAUAGUUAAAAAGUUCCAAUAAAAUAUGAUCAUCUAAUGGUGUCCUUACAGUUUUGUAACCACAACCAGUACAAUGUCUCUGUCAAAUGAAAUGUUUCUACCCAAAAUCAAUUUCCUUUUUACUAUAUGGAAUUAAUCGAUUUGGAAUUGCGGAUUUUUAAUAGAUAUAAUAGAAUACCCUAAGUAUUUUGAUAGUAUUCUAAAAUUAAUGUUGACCUUAAUGCAUGGCUUCGGGCGUCACUGUCAUGAACUUGGUCAGUCUAACAAAUAUAAUGUAACUCAUGGUAUCAUCAAAAUAUGUGCAACCUCACUUAGUAGAAACCAGAUCAGAUUAGGGCAAAUUAUCUCUGUUGUCUUGGUCAAAUCUUUUGUGACUUCAUCAAUAGAUAUAACAUGUAGCCACGCCACAAUUUUUUUUUAAUUUUAAUUGGAAUGCUUAGAAGUCUAUUAAAGAUUAUAAUGUCACCUAAUUAAGAAUAAUAUCAAUUAUUCUAUUUUAAUAUAAUAUUUAAUUAAAUCAUUGCCAUUAUUGUACUCAGUCAUGGCUCAUAUGUGGAUCCACUAAUUGUUUCGCACCGUUGAUUGAUUGUGGGACGGUAAAGAUUUGAUUAAAUUAAUAUUGGAAUUGGUAUGCGAUCUCACUAAAGUUGACUUCUAAAAUUGCAUUCUCAUUCAUUCAGAUUUAAAAAACAAGAAUGAUAAUAUGAUAGUUACUAUUUUACGUUUGAAAUAUUAUGUUUCUUCUGAAAGCUACAAAUCUCAUUUACAUUUCCUAGUCAAAGACUUAUUGAAAUAAAUUAUUUAUGCUAUUAAUUCAGUUAGUUAAGGAUAUACUUUAAAUGAUAUGACAUUUAAUCAACCAACGAUACAACAUAUAUCGAUUUAAUAUUAAGAUAUCUAAACAAAAUGAGAUGACAAGAUCAGUACUCAACAUAUAAUUUAAUUUUAAUAUAACUUCUUUCAUAAAUAUUGAUACAAUAAUAUUGUAUCAAUAUCAUGUCACUUGUUUUACUUUAUUUACUUAUUACUUAACUCUUUUAGCACUUAUACGUCACUCAUAAACUCGUAUAUAUUUUGUAUGCAUCGAAUUGUUGAGAAUAGAAUUCAUAGAGUUCAGCCCUUGUGCAUGAACUUAGGAUUUCUCUAUUAAGUUUACUUGGAUAUGAUUAUAUUUUUGUUCUAGUUUAUGACCUCUUCUCAUUUUUUUUCGAUUACAUAUGAUUUUCAUUAAAUCACUACUGUAGUUGGCAUUUCACAUCACCCGCAAUUGAUUAGUUGCUCUCUAAUCCAACAAAAUUAAUAUGGAAAGAAAUGAAUGGCCAGCGAUAAAUAUUCCAACAUUAUGCGUUACGCUGAAGAUUAAGCCAUUCCACUCCUACAAAACUGAAUCUCUUUGACAGAAUGCUUUUUCACGUGAUCAUGUAUGUGUCAAAGUUUUGUGACAGAUAUAUUAUUUUGCAGAUGUGGCAAGCACAAUCGUUUCAAAAUCUUAGAGGCCUUGAAAUUUUGAUUAUUACAAAAUCUAAGAGGAUAGUUACAAAAUUCUGUCACAAACAGUAAAAGUUAAGUGAUUCUUGACAUAAUACUAUCAAAAGAUUUAAAUAAAAUCUCACAUUUUAAUAUUUUACAAAAAUGUGUUUUAAAUAUUUUAAUUUUUUUGACAUAAUUCUAUCAAUGAACUUUCUUUUUAAAUUUUAAAUUCCACAUAGGCAUUGAAAAUCACGUAGUUUUAAAAGAUUCCAAUUAUUUAAGUGAUGUGAAUAUAUCUUCAAUAAGUCAACGACAAAAUUCUAUGAAACAAAAUUUACUAUUUUAAUUAUUUUAUAUUACCACUUCAAUAAACUAAAACAAUGACAUUUCAUAUGCUCAAAAAAGAAAAACUUAUGUAGGCCGAGUUCGUCAUCUCAUCAUAUUAAAAAGGCGUGUUCAACCAAUAAGAAUUUGCCAUCUAAAAAGUUCAAUGGGUCUUUUGAGUCUGAACCUGAGUGUUUCAGGUCGGACUCAGCCUAAGCUCGGGCAUAAAACACAAUAAAUGCUAAAAAAAAUAAAAGAAUAAAUAUUUUAUUUUUAAUUAAAAUACACUUUUUAAAAUAUGUUUAACCUAUCCAGAACAUAUAUUUAAAGUUUUAAUUCUUUAACAGAACUUUUAAUACCUAAUCUAAUAAGAAAGUUUAUAAAUUAUAAAUUUAUAGAAUUCAAUGAAAAAGGUUUAAAAAAAUUAAAGUAUAAAUAUGAGGUUUUAUUUUAUGUACCGCUGAUAUAAAAUUAACACAAAAACAUUCUGAAAUCGAAAGCUUGGAACGAAUCUCACGCCUCUCGCCUUCUCUUUCUCGCAUUUCGCAUUCCUCUUUGCCUCUCUCUCUCUCUCUCUCUCUCACACACACACACACACAUAAAUGUUAACCUCACCAGUCCUCACAAAUAAGCCGUUUGCUUUUAUCACUUGCUGGGCAAUCAUCUCCAAAAAUGAAACAACUGAAAUUCAAAUGGGAUAUUUAUUUUUCUCUCCAGAUUCUUUUCUCUGAAAUAAUGCUAAAACAAUUUUUUUUUUGUUUUUUUUGUAUAAUUUCAGCAAAGGUCCAGAUCGCUCAAGGCCUAAUUUCAUCUCAAGGUUUGUCUUUUUCCUCUUGAUUGCCUUUCGUUAUUGGUUUCUCAUGUGACAUUACUUUACUUUGUUCUUUGCUUAUUGUAAAUUUAUUCACGGUUUCUACAUUAUAAGUUACGGUCUUUGUUUACUUUUAUUAAAAAUUAUGGUAUAUGAAUAAUAAGAAUAAUAAUAAUAUUGGCUUGUUUGCGUAAUUGUCUUCGAUAUUGACUGUAUUUACAAGAUUCUCUGUGACAUAUUUCUUAUUGUGAUUGUUUAAUUAGUCUCGAUUGCAAUUUUUACAAGAUUUGAUGAAUGUUAAAAUUUAAGUAACAAUUUAAAUUUGUACACCAAGUGUUUGUUAAAAUUUAAGUAACAAUUUAAGUAACAAGUUCUUUAUUUCUCUAAAAAUGUGCAUAAUUUCCCACUUAUACAAGUGUCAAGAUAUUUUUGACUUUCUUUUUUUUUUUUUAAGUACUAAUACUAAUUUAUUGUUUGGUUAUAAGUACUAUAAAUCAAACAGGAGAAAAUAAUUGAGUUUUUUUUUUGUUAACUAAAAAAUACGUAUUAUAAAUGUUACUUAUACAAAUGCACAUUACUAUUCAAAAUAAUAAAAAUUUUGCAUUGGAAACAAUUUUGAAAAGAAAAAUAAAAGUUUUUAAUGGAGAAAGGAAAUGUGGAGGGAAAGUUUGAUAGAAGAUGCACACUAGCUAGUUUUGGAAUUAUACCGUCAGGCGUCAGUCAUUUUAUAAAAAAAAAAGAUGGAAAUAAUUUGAUCAGCCACCGGAGCUUUACUUCAGUGAUGCAUGUAUAUUCUAAGCUUCAUGACAUCAUAUUAAAAACGUAUUGCUAAGGUAAUUUGAAAUUCGUUUUAUCCAAUGAAUAUUACAUUUACUGGUAUGUUUAAUAUUUUGUUUUGGUUAAAAAUUUUACUAACAGCUAAUAACUGAAUUUGACUCAUUUUUAUGUAAAUUUUAUAGACCCACCGAUUCACCAUUUUUUAAUGUUAUAAUCAUUGUAGGCAUGUUAUUUUUAAAUUAUGACUCCAUGUGAAACCAAAAUUUAAAUUUCACCAUCUUUUAUAGAGUUUGGUUAUGAUAAUCAAAUAAUACAAUAAACAAACACAAGACAAAAAAAUUUACGUGGUUCAACAUAUUAAUUAAUAUGCCUACAUCCACGGUUGGUGAUACCAAUAAACCACUAUAUAAUGAAAAAAUAUACAAAUAAUAACAAGCUCUCAGAUGCUCCAAAAAAAAGAAAAAAAAGAAACACCAAUCUCAACACUCAAAAUCAAUCAACCGCAGCAGUUUGGCCUCACAGGAGCUCUUUCUGUCUUGUGCUUUCCCUCAUUCAUUCUCUUUACAAAUACAAUGCUCACAAAAAAACAAAACAAAUUACCGAAAACAUACAUAACAGAUUAAAAAAGCACACGCCGCGCCCGUCCCCCAAUUCCUGCUCUGCGACGCCAUUUACGUAAAUUACUUUUUGGCUGAAAAAAUAUCGCUUUCCCCAACAAAACAAAUGAAUCAGUUAGACAAAUAUAUCCAAUUUUAAUGGACAUUGUUAAAUUAAUGAAGAAGAGUAGAGAGCAAAUGAGAAGGAAAGCGUAUACAAAUUACAAUUACUAACCAGAGUUAUUAGCACCAUUAGAUAUAUAUCCCUGCUGAAUCCCCUCCUCUGUUCACCAACUAACAUUUAAACGUUCUAAAUUAUACAACUCACACAACGUCUCGGGUAAUGUUUCUAUCUCCCUUUGAUUGGCCAAACUAAGGUAUUUCAAAUGUAAUAAUUUUUCUAUAUUUGUUGGAACUUCUUUGAUGAAAUCCUCAGGCGACCUCUCAUCAUGCACCUCUAAUUUUAAUGCCCUCAAACAAGUUAAUUUAUCAAAUAAUUGAGGUAGGAUUACGCUAGAACGUUUAGUACUUUCAAGUAAGAGGCUACGCAAUCCUCGCAAUGCUUCAACAUUGUCGUAAACGGGCAUCGGACCGCAGCCUAUAGCUAACAUCAAAUGAAGGAUUUUUUUCUCCACAAAAGAACUCAUAGCUAACUCUUCACCACUAUGGAAUUCUACUAUUAAACAUUCAUUACUACAUAAGUAUUCGGCUAAGUCGUGCACUAUGUCAUGCAUUUUGCAUAGAAGUAAUUCACCAUCAUAUCCUCUUCCAAAUUCCUGAAAGAAUGAACGGCUAGCUAAGACAUUGAAAUACUCUUCACCAAUUUCCUCCAUCUCUUUGUUUCUUUUAUUGUCAAGGAAACCUUGAGCCAUCCAUAGUUCAAUUAACUUAUCUUUCUUUAGUAUAACGUCUUUUGGAAAGACGGCACAAUAAGUGAAACAUUGUUUUACCUUAGAGGGUAAUUCAUUGUAACUCAACAAUAGAGGGGCUAAAAGAUUUUUCUCAACCUGUUCUAUCUCCCAUAUCUCACUCUUUAAGAUAUUUUGCCAUUCUUUUUCAGUGUUUUUAGACCGCAAGAGACUAGCAAUUGUCUUUGUAGCUAAAGGUAAGCCCUUGCACUUUCUUGUAAUUUCUCGACCAAUUUUUUCUAAAUUCUCACGUUCCUCCAUGGACUUACCAGCAAAUGCUAACGACUCAAACACCGACCAGCAUUCCAUUUCAGACAACACAUUGACAGAUAUGAUGUCAGUUGAUCCCAUAAUACGGGCAACUGCCUCUUUACGUGUGGUAAUUAAAAUUUUACUUCCAUGGAGACAAUUCUUUAAGCAGUUGUUGAAUUGCUCCCAUUUAUGGAAAUUUUCAUUCCACACGUCGUCUAAAACAAGAAGAAGUUUCUUCCCGGCUACAUGUUUUUGAAUAUGUUGCAUGAGAGAUUGAAACUCAACAAAAUUAGGGGCACAACCUGUAACCUGUAAGAGCCUCAAUGAUUGCUCUAGCGAUUCUGAACUCUUCAAAAGGAUCUGACACGCAGACCCAUAUUCUUUUUUCAAAAUUCUUUUCAACAUCACCGUUGUUGUAGGCAAAUUGAGCAAGAGUUGUUUUGCCUAUGCCCCCCAUCCCAACAAGUGAGAUGAUAUGGGGCCCCUUUUGUUCUAUACUAUUCUCACAUAUUAACCUAUCAACCAGUUCGUUCUUCUCAUCUUUUCUACCAAAUAUCUCGGACUCAUCAAUUGAGGAGACACUUGGUAUUCGCUCAUCUGCUCUCUCAUUACUCUUAAUAACAUUCACAGCAAAACCAAACUGGUCUUUCUGUUUGGCAAUAUCAUCAAGACUUUCAUUGAUUUCUUUGAGCUUGAGAGCAAUGUCACGACGUAGAAAAAGUCGUUUGCAACCAAAGCAAGAGGCAGCAGGAAAGAAGGAACAUACCUUCUUCUUAGGAACGAGAGCAUCAUUCUCAUGAUCAUCCACUCCAUCGAUCUGCAGUUUGAGCCUUGCAGUGUUCCACUCACCCAACACAUCUUCCAUGUCGCAACAUGCGUCUCUGAGUUGAUCGAGCCAGAGUCUUGACUGUUUCCUCCUUUAUUUGCCUUUUUUCAGCAUCAUGGAGCACAGUUUGAAUGGUUCGGAGUUUGCGGGUCAGCUUCUCCGCUUCCUUUCCGACGCCCGUUUCCAGCCUCACUUGUUCCUUUGCCUCAUCGACAGCCAUUGAAGUCAGCUGCUCCAAGAUAGGGGAAAGGAUCGCAUCAACCAUGGUGAAAAAGAAAAAAGAGAGAGAGAAGAAAUUGAUGGUGAAUUGUUGCAAAAGUAAGUAGCUAAUUCUGAAAGAAAUGAAGGAGCUGAUAAUGUGGUGAAAAUGUUGCCGUAUUCUUUCAAUUCCGUUUUGGAAUUAUGCAGUCAGUCAUUUUAUUAAAAAAUAAAAUAAAAUAAUAAUAAUAAUAAUAAUAAUAAUAAUUUGAUCAACAGAAUUUGAUCAGCCACCAAAGCUUUACUUCAGUGAUUUUCUCAAUACGAGGUACGGUCCUCAGAACCUUAUCAUGAUGCAUGUAUAUUCUAAGCUUCAUGACAUCAUUUUAAAAAAGUUUUGCUAAGGUAAUUUGAAAUUUGUUUUAUUAAAUGAAUGUUACAUUUACUGGUAUGUUUAAUAGUUUGUGGGUAAUUAUUUAUUUUGUUUUGGAUAAAAAUUUUGCUAUCGAACAAACUAAUAACUGAACUUGACUUAUUUUUAUAUAAAUUUUAUGUUAUGAUCAUUGUAGGUAUGUUAUUUUUAAAUUAUGACCUCAUGUAAAAUCAAAAUUUUUAAUUUCACCAUUUUUUAUAGAGUUUGGUUAUGAUAAUUAAAUAAUGUGAUAAACACAUACAAGGCAAAAAAAUUUACGUGGUUCGACAUAUUAAUUAAUAUGCCUACAUCCACGGGUAGUAAUACCGAUAAUCCACUAUGUGAUGAAAAAUUGUACAAACAACAAGCUCUCAGAUGCAAAUAAAACGAAAAGAAACACCAGUCUUAACACUCUAAACCAAUCAACCCCCAGCAGCUCAGCGUCGCAAGAGCUCUUUCUGUCAUGUGCUUUUCCUUAUUCAUUCUCUUUACAAACACAAGGCUCACAAAAAACAAAACAAAACAAAACAAACAAAUUGCUGAAUACUGAAAACAUACAUAGCAGAUUAAAAAAGCACGCGCCGCGCCCGUCCCCCAAUUCCUUCUCUGCUACGCCAUUUACGUAAUUCCUUUUUGGCUGAAAAAUAUCGCUUUCUCCAACAAAACCAAUGAAUCAGUUAGACAAAUAUAUCUAAUUAUAAUGGUUUGGUGACGUAAUUAUAUCUAAUCAUAAUUUUAUAUAUAUAUAAAUAUAAACAAUUGGACAUGCAUCAGCAAAUUAAUGAAGAAGAGUAGAGAGCAAAUGAGAAGGAAAGCAUAUGCAAUUACUAACCAGAGUUAAUUUGAUUCCUUUCCUUGUUGGCUCUGUUCACUGUUGGACUAGACGUUUCAUCUCAUGCACUCUCACGUCUGUCUGUUUUCGAUCCGCUCUUAAUUAAUAUUUUGUUAAUUAAUUGGCUGAAAAUGAAAAGUUUCUUUAAUAUUUCAUUAAGCAGAGAGCAAAGGAAUUGACGACACACUUAUAAUAAUUAAUUUCUAAAUUGGAUUAAAAAAAAUAACAACUAAUUGAUUUUUUUAAGUAACAUAGGAGAUCUAGAAAGAAAGAAGUUACCCGUGGCCGGGGGUGAUUGUAAUUGCAGCCGCGCCCAUUCAGCGAAUGUCGAUGUCCGGAAUGUGGCGUAUCUUAGGCCAGUCCUCUCCUGUCUCCUUUCUGCAACGUUCUUUUAAAACAGGACAUUCCCCCCAAAUCUCCAAUCUCUGGAGCGUUGACUUCUGAAGAAGGUGAUCGGGCAAUGCUUUUAAUUUACGGCAACAACCAAUUUCCAAGAAAGAAAGACGUGGCAUGAUUAUGAUUUCUCCCUUUAUUGCAGUCCCGAAAUCCCACUCUUCCAGUUCUUCCAUAUGCUUAAAUGUGAGCUUUUUCAAUUUGGGAAAGGCAAUAACUGAGGAGCCAUCCGUAUCACUUUCUACUCCCAGAAAUUCAUUACCCACUCUUUUCACACUUUUCAUUCCAAAAAUAAGAAGAGAUUCAAGGGAUUUCAAUUUUCCCAAAGGAGGCAAAUGCUCACAAUUUCUGCAAUUGCAGAGAUAUAAAUCCCUUAAGUUGGUUAACGACAUGAACCAAUUUAUGGGGACAACAUUCCUCCUCCCUCUGUAUUGAUAUAUCUCUAACCUCUUUAAAUUAGGAGGUGGUCCCAAGGCUUCAAGAAGCCGUUCAUCUUCAUCCUCCUCAUUCUCCCUCCUCCCAGCUUGAUCAAAUUGAAGUUCCAACUCAACGAGAUAUUUCUUUUUCUCAAGUUCAGCCCUUCUAGCCUCCCCCGCAUCUGACACACCACCCAGCCCACGUAUACUACAUUGUCGACGGAGGUUAAGCUUUUUAAGAGACCCAAGGCUACAUGCUCUGUCAUACCCUCCGCCCACAACAAACUCUCUCACUUCCCGAAGCCUGAUUAAUUCCCCAAUCCCUACCGGCAAGUAUCUUAAAGAUGCAGUCCGCGCAUUGUGUAAAUACAUCAGCUUUCUUAACCUCCCAAUCCCUCGAGGUAAUUCUCUAAGAUUUCGACAAUUAUUAACAUCUAAACGUUCUAAAUUAUACAACUCACACAACGUCUCGGGUAAUUUUUCUAUCUCCCUUUGACCGCACAAACUAAGGUAUUUCAGAUGUAACAAUUUUUCUAUAUUUUUUGGAAUUUUUUUGAUGAAAUUAUGACCCCAGAUAUGCGCCUCUAAUGUUAAUACCCUUAAACAAGUUAAUUUAUCAAAUAAUUGAGGUAAAACUUUGCUAGACCAUGAAUAAUCACCACCUUCAACCAAGAGGCUACGCAAUCGUCUCACUCUCUUAACAUUAUUCCAAAUGGCUAUCGGGACUGAAGUCCCCUCGUCUACAGUUAACAUUAAAUGAAGAACUUUUUUCUGCUCAAAGGAACUCAUAAUAGACUCUUCACCACCAUGAAUUUUCACUGUUAAACAUUCAUUCCUGCAUAUAAAUUGGGCAAGGUCGUGCACUAAAUCGUGCAUUUUGCACUUAUAGACUUUACCAUCAACAUCUGUUUCGAACUCUUGAAAAAAUGAACUACUAGCUAAAAUGUUGAAAUACUCUUCACCUAUGUCCUCCAUCUCUUUGUUUCCUUUCUCAUUAAGGUAACCUUGAGCCAUCCAUAGUUUAAUUAACUCAUGCUUCCAUAUUUCAAGGUCUUUCGAAAAAACAGCACAAUAUGAGAAACAAUGUUUUACCUUAGAGGGCAAUUCAUUGUAACUCAACAACAGAGGGGCCAAUAGACCUCUCUCAACCACUUCGUGAUCCCAUAUCUCACUCUUUAAAAUAUUUUGCCAUUCUUCUUCAGUGUUUUUAGACCUUAAAAGACUACCAAUGGUCUUUACAGCUAAAGGUAAGCCCUUGCAUUUUCCUACAAUUUCUCGACCAAUUUUUUUUAAAUUCUCACAUCCCUCCAUGGACUUGCCGAAAAAUGCUAUUGACUCAAAUAUUGACCAGCAUUCCUUUUCAAACAAAACAGCAAUUGGGAUAAUGUCAGUUGAUUUCAUAAUAUGGGCAGUUGUUUCAUCACGUGUAGUAAUUAAAAUUUUACUUCCGUGGAAACCAUUUUUUAAACAAUUGUAGAAUGGUUCCCAUUUAGAGUCAUCUUUAUUCCACACGUCGUCUAAGACAAGAAGAAAUUUCUUGCCUUCAACACAUCCUUGAACAUGUUGCAUGAGAGAUUGAAACUCACCAAAGUUAGGGGCAGAACCUGUUAGAGCCUCAAUGAUUGCUCUGGCGAUUCUGAACACAUCAAACGGGUCUGACACACAGACCCAUAUUCUUUUCUCAAAAUGAUUUUUAACAUCAUCGUUGUUGUAGGCUAAUUGAGCAAGAGUAGUUUUGCCUAUGCCUCCCAUCCCAACAAGUGAGAUGACACAGGGGCCUUUCUGCUCUUCACUACUCUCACGUAACAGCUUAUUAACCAGAUCGUUCUUCUGUGUUUCUCUACCAAAUAUCUCGGACUCAUCAAUUAAGGAGAUACUUGGUACUCGUUGAUCCGCUCUCUCAUUACUGUUAAUAACAUUCACAGCAAAACCAAACUCGGCUUUUUGUUUGGCAAUAUCAUCAAGAGUUUCAUUGAUGUCUUUCAUCUUGAGAGCAAUGCGACGACGUAAAAAAAUAGGUUUGCAGCCAAAGCAAGAGGCAGCAGGAAAGAAGGAACAUACCUUCUUCUUAGGAACGAGAGCAUCAUUCUCAUGAUCAUCCACUCCAUCGAUCUGCAGUUUGAGGUUUGCAGUGUUCCACUCACCCAACACAUCUUCCAUGUCGCAACAUGCGUCUCUGAGUUGAUCGAGCCAGAGUCUGACUGUUUCCUCCUUUAUUUGCCUUUUUUCAGCAUCAUGGAGCACAGUUUGAAUGGUUCGGAGUUUGCGGGUCAGCUUCUCCGCUUCCUUUCCGACGCCCGUUUCCAGCCUCACUUGUCCCUUUGCCUCAUCGACAGCCAUUGAAGUCAGCUGCUCCAAGAUAGGGGAAAGGAUCGCAUCAACCAUGGUGAAAAAGAAAAAAGAGAGAGAGAAGAAAUUGAUGGUGAAUUGUUGCAAAAGUAAGUAGCUAAUGCUGAAAGAAAUGAAGGAGCUGAUAAUGUGGUGAAAAUGCAGCCGUAUUCUUUCAAUUCUUAUAGUACUGCAAGCAAAAUUCCAAUUUAGAAAUAUUUCGUUUCAGCCCUUGUGAAAGAAGCUACUGUUAUUAUUAUUACUAUUUUUUUUUUAAUAGUAAUAUUUGUGAACUUGACAAAAUUGUUAGAUAAUAUUUGUGAUCGUGUCGUCAUAUUGAGAUUUGGAAGCAUUUGCUUCACAAUCACCCAUGAACUUGAUAAUUUUUAGAUUGUUUGAUCUGAAUUAUACGUGUUUUAUUAGCUUAGAAAUACCCUGACCAUCUCUUUCUGAUUUUCUUUUUUUUUUUUUUGAAAUUUGACUCAUUUGCAUAAUUAGUUGAAAGGAAAGAAUGAACAUACAAUUAAACUAAGAAAACGCUGCCACAUAAUAUUCUAAGGUUCAUAUCGAACCGCUUUAUUUAGAUUUGUGAUUUCUGAUAGUGGGAGUUUAGAGUUUAAUCUCUAACUUUGAUUGUGAAGUGUGAAAAAUCAAAUAAUCUUUUCUACUAGUUUUUCAACAAUAAUAGAUAACAAUUCAUCAUUAGUUAUUUCUCAUUACGUAUAAAAUGAUCAAUCUAGAGCUGAAUAUUCACAUAAUUUUCUAUUUCUAAUCAUUUCAAAAUUUAAUAUAAACUUUUAAAAAAAAAUCAAUCUGUAAUAAAGUGACAUAAAUAUAAAAAAACGAAAAUAAAAAGUAAAAAUUGUAAUGCAGAAAAAAGACAAAACCUUUUGUUUGUUCUAUUCAUGACAUCUAAAUAUGAGUACGAUGGGUUGAUUGUAGGGGUGGGCAUGAGUUGGUUUGGGUUGGGUUUUGAGUCAACCCAAACCAAACCAUAAAAGUUUGGGUUCAACCCAAACCAACUCAAAUAUUUCCAACCCAAUCCAAACCAAUCCAUUUGGGUUUGGUCUGGGUUUGGUUUCAAUUUUAUUAUUAAAAUUUUUUUAUUUUGAUAAAAUUAAUUAUAUUAAAUUUAUAAUAAUAAUUAUUUUUUAUUAAUAAUUAAAUUGAUAUUAAAAUAUAAAAAAGAAAUAUAGUGGAUAAAAAUUAUAAAUAAUAAAUUUUGCAAUAACUUCAUCCUUAAAUUAAAAGAUUGCUAGAAAAUUAAAAUAAAAUUCAAUCACAAAAGUAUUAUUUUCUCAAUAAAUGAGAAUGUAAUAUCUACUAAUAAAUUUCUACAAAUAUGACAUCAAUAAGAAAUUCAAAGAAGGAAAAAAAAACAUAUACACAUAGAGUAAGUUUUUAAUAAGGGUUUUUAUUUUUUAUUUUGUUAAAGUAAGAAAUAAAUUAAAAUUAUUAAAUGAUAAGCUAACUCACAAAGCAUUUCUCUCUCUAGAUCAAUGCAAAAUCAUUUAAGAAUCAGUCAUUGGUCAAGCUUCCUUAUGUGAUUAAAUUAAUUUUUGAAGAGUAACAAGAUACAGAAUGUGGGGAAACAUCAGGAUGCCACAAAACUGCAAACUAAAGCUGUCCAAACGAGAAAAGCUUAAAAUUAAGUUGAAUUGAGACCGGCGAGAAUUAAUAUUGUAAUUUUAGUUAUGAUUUUAGACAAUAAGUUUAAGUAAUGAGAUUUUGUCCGUGACCCAUGGGUAAACCAUACCUAACCCAUAAUAAAAUGAUUUUUUUUUUUAUAUAUAAAACACACAUCUAACCCAUUUUCAUAAUUUACCCAACCCAAACCAUUAAAUUUGGUUUGGGUUUGGGUAAAUUCAUGGGUUGUAGGUUUAUGCCCACCCUUAGUUGAUUGUCAUUGUGAACUACCAUAUAAUUGCAAGGCGUGAAUAUUAUCAAAGAUAUAAUAAUUCAUGGACCCAUACAUCUGUAUUUCUAAUUAUUCCGCAUAGAAAGCUAAAGUUUAACGUGUGAUUCUCAAAUUCAUUUUCAAGUGUUUUGAACGUUUUAACGAUUAGCGCUUAAUUUUCUUUUUGAUGGAGAAUAACAACUUGAAGAUUCCUGGAAGUUGCCUGCAGUUCAAAUAUUUUUCUUCAGACGAAAACCAUCACCAAUUUUCAAACUUAGAAGAUAUUUAUUUUUUUCCCAUAACCCACCAAAAACUUUUUCAUUUAGUGUAACUUUGUAAUUUUCUUAGAUGAUACUUAAGACUGCUAAUAUCUUCUUAUUAUCACCAAAAACUUUGUAACUUUGUAAUUUUCACUAUUCAUAUGUAGUGGCAGACAGCGGUGGCCAAUUAAGGGAUGAAGACUACUACUCCACCGAGUAAAUCUUGACACGUGUGCUUUUUCUAAUUACAUUUUUGCAAUGGCAAUUAAUGCUGAAGGAAAUGAAGGAGCUAAUAACGUGGUGAAAAUGCUGCCAUAUUCUUCCAAUACUUAUACUGCACGCAAAAUUCCAAUUUAGAAAUAUUUCAUUUCAAAAGAAGUUAUGGCUAUUGUUAUUAUCUUUCUUUUCUUUUCCUUUUAUUUUUUAUUUAUUUUUUAACCAGUGUGGACUGGAAAUAUUGUCAGGUCCUCCGUCUGCGAUUCACGCGGUAUAUGAACUUGACAAAGUUGUUAUAUGAUAAUAUGAUAGAGGACCAUAUGUUGUCUCCGUCAGGUCCGCUUAUAGGGUCUUGCUAUGUUACAGUUUGGGAUCCGGCUUCUUUUGUUUUUUAUGGCUGUGUUAUUGUAAAUUUUCAUAUAACCCCCUUUACUCAUUUUUAUUUAAGCUUUACUUUAUAAAUAUUAAAUUAAUUUCUACUACAUCCAUAUAAAUAUUUUAGUUAGCACCUUGUGUUAUUUAUUAUUUAUAAAUUUUUAUUCUAUAUUAUACCUAUAUCACAAUACCCCACUCUUUAUAAUUUUGAGAUUAAAUAAUUAACAAGGAAAAGAAUUGGAUAGACCCGAACUCGUAAACCCAACCCGGAUUCCGUUUUCAUUUCCGGCCACUCCACCAGCCAAGGUUGGUACCGAUCGAAAGAUCGUGCGACGCCGGUCAUCUCCAUGUCAUCCUUGUAGCAAAAAGAAUCGGGUCAAACCGAACCCGCAAACCCGACCCGCAUGCCGUUUCCAUUUUCGGCCACUCCACCGGCCAAGGUUGGUACCGAUCGGAAGCUCGUUCGAUGCCGGUCAUCUCCAUGCCAUCCUUGUCGCCGGAAAGUGUUCGAAAAGCUGCCGAUCGAAGCCGUGAAAAGCCGCUUCAAUUCGCCACGAUUUUUCCGGUUUCUGGUGACGCCACCACCUGGUUUUUGUUCCCCACAAUUCCCUCUGUCUUUUACGACCAGCCACAGCCACCGGAGGAGCUGAUUUGCCGUUGAUCGGCCGUUGAAGGAUUCACGGGUUUGGGAGAAAUUAACUUAAUAUUUGUGAAACAAAGUUUAAAUAAAAAUGAAUGAAAGGGGUCAUAUGAAAAUUUACAAUAACACAGCCAUAAAAAACAAAAGAAGUGGCACGGUACCACUGUGGUACCGUAGCCGGAUCCUACAGUUUGUGUCUGUAACAGCACAUGACGUGACAAAUAAUUUAUUAAGAGUGCGCCAUGUGUAAAAAUUUAAUGAUCCAAUUUGGUAACAAGAUUCUUUUCACCCGUUAUUAUUAACCGGUUGCAGAUGACUUACUGAAAUUACAAUUACGUUAAACAGUGUUUGACUGUGAAGUGUUAAAAUUUAAAUAAUCUUUACUAUUUGUUUUGCAACAAUAAUAAAUAACAAAUCAUUACUAAUUAUUUUUUAUUUUGUAUAAAUUGAUCGAUCCAGAGCUGGAUAUUUACAUAUUUUUCUAUUUCCAAUCAUUUCAAAAUUUCAUAUAAACUUUUUUUUUAAAAAAAAAUCAAUUUGUAUUGAAGUGUCAUAAAUAUAAAAAAAAUGAAAAUGAAAAGUCAAAAUUGUAAUGCAGAAAAAAGACAAAACCUUUUUUUUUUUUCCACGGCAUAUGAAUAUGUUGUUACAGGUAAUGGAAUUUAUAACCCCAAAGGGAAGCUUCUUCCAUAAAUAAUACGAGAAUGACGGAUUGAACGUAUGAACACUAUAUUUUCUUUUUGACAAAAGCACAAUAAUAACUUAAGGUACUGCAACACUGCAUGAAGAUUCCUGGAAGCAAUCUUUUUUCUUUUGGACAAAACCAACAAUAAUUUUCAAACCUGGAAGACACUCGUUAAAAGAUGGAUCUUCAUGGUUUUUUUACCCCCCAUAACCCACCCACCAAAAACUUUUUUCAUUUACUUUAACUUCGUAGUUUUCUUAGAAGAUACUUAGAACUGCGAAUAUCUUCUAAUUAUUGUUUUAAAAAUCUCAGUUGCAUGCCCAAUUAACUAAUCAGUAGCCUCAGUUCGACAUAUUUAAAACACACAAAAAAUUUUAAAAAAAAAUGACACAGUGGUUUGAUGACUUUGUAAUUGAUACAUUCAGGAAAUGAAGAGAAAAAGGAACACACGCACUUAUGACGAUCAUUGCAGAUGAUAUAAUAGAUGUAAGUAUUUGGUGGCAAUUAAUUAACUAAUACUCUUAUCAAGUAAUUGCUUUGGACUCGAAUUAAGCAGCUCUGCACUGCCCUUGGAUAAUUCCCCUGCUUAAAAAACAUUGUUUUAAAAAUCUCAAUUAACUACAUGCCCAAGCCCAACAAAUCAGUUUGACAUGCAAUAUUAAAAAAAAAAAAAAAAAAAAAAAAAGGAUCGACCAGCACAGCAAUUUUGGUACAAUGACUUUGUUGUAAUUGAACAUCAUUAGAAAUUUAAUAAAGAUUAGAGAGCAACGAGAAACCGCAAUUAAACUAACCAAUUUGAUUAUUAAAUCUUAAGUCUCUAGCACCGUUCCGUUAAUCCUCUGAUCGAUCGCACAGUCCUGUCUUGUCAUGUUUCCUUCUAUGCAUAAUCGAUUCAUUUACUAAAUGAAAUUAAUCAAUUUGAAUAUAUAUAGUUGAACUUUUAGUAAUUUUGUAGCUUGCAAAGUAUGAUAUCUUUACCGCGUGGGUUUGGACAUAACUGUUAUAAACUUGGUCAGUUUAAUAAAUAUAACGUAACCUAUGAUAUUAUAUAAAUAUUCAAUUAUUCUUUUGGAGAGAAGUAAAUUCACUCAAAUUUAAAAAAGGUUGGUACAGAUAAAAAUAUUUCAUGUUUUAUUACCUAAUAAUAUUUGAAUUUUAAGGUGCGUUUGGUAUUGUUUUUGUUUUGGUGUUUUUUGUUUUUUAAUAAUGAAGCAAUCUAAAAUUUGUUUGGAUAACUUGUUUUUAAAUUGUAUUUAAUUCUAAUAGAGAAUGAUUUGUUCUAAUUUUCCAACUGAAGAAAAGUGGAAAAUAGAAAAUUAAUAUUUUUUUUUUCUUCAAAUGAAUCCCAUAAUCCUACUUGCACAAUAAGAAAAUAAAAAACCUAUUACUUUAUAAUACAAAUUUUCAUUUAUUUAAUCGUUUGUUUUUUUCUAUGAUGGUAAUAUAUUAUUUUAGUAAUUUUUAAAGAACUUUGAUAUUCUCUAAAAAUAUAUAUUUUAUCUCAUGUUUAUAAAAUAAAAAAUUUACAAUAGCAAAAAAAUAUAUAAUGAUAAAAAAAACUUAGUUUGUUAAAAUUUUUUCAUUAUGAUAUUUGUUUUCACUCUAAUUCAACGUCUUCACUUUUUUAGACAAAAAAUUAUCUACAUUUUUAAAACUCUUGACAAUGACAUAAAACAUUUUGUACUUCUUAAGUAGAUUCCAGUUGUUCUUGUUCUGAGAUUACCAAAAGCAUUAUAGCAAACGAAACCAAGCCAGCCCAGUUUCCAGUAAAGGCAACAGCCCUAUGCUAUGCUAGCCUUUCGGUCUGAGUUGGCCCAUUUACACGCUUGUGAACACAAUGCCUUUUUGGUCAUCCAUCAGACAAGGUUGAAAAAGGAACUAAAACUGAACAGUAGAACAGAUUACCUGGAGGUGAUGGUAUAUGCAGCCGUUUGAGGCCUCCUAAAAGACUUCUCCUGAUCCCUUGAAAGUUAUGAAUUAAGACAGUAGGCCAGUCUGCUCUUGUUCCCUUUCUGUAAACUUUCAUUUAAAACAGGACAGGACAUUCGCGAAUCACCCCUGCAAACCAAAUCCAAGGCAAAAUUGAUCAAUGCGAUUUAGUAAGUGAGCCUUGAAAAGUCAUCACACAGCUUAAAAGCCAAAUGAAUUAGGACUUGUGAUUGGGGUAAUGGUUUAAAGAAAAUAGUAAGCAAUCCCCACUCAAAGCCAAAGUAACAAAGCAGAAGAAUAUGCUAAUUAACCUUAACCGACAUCAACUUAAUUUUGAUCGGCGACCAAAGCCUCAGUGGUCUUCUCAAUUCCACCUCUGGUAAAUAGAAUGGGAUCUGCACCAGCUACUACCACCUGAAUGAGUACCAAAUAAGCCCCCCCCCCCCCCCCCCCCCCGCGUGAAGUUAACAUCAAAUGAAGGAUUUUUUUCUCCCCAAAAGAGCUCAUAGUUGACUCUUCACCACUACCACUAUGAAUUUCUACAGAUAAACAUUCUACAUAAAUAUUGGGCAAAAUCGUGCACUAUAUCAUGCAUUUUGCACCUAAAUAUUUCACAAUCGUCACCUCUGUCAAAAUCCUGAAAGAAUGAGCGGCUAGCUAAAAUGUUGAAAUACUCUUCAUCAAUGUCCUCCAUCUCUUUGUGUCCUUUCUCACUAAGGUAACCUUCUAGUUAUAGCUUACUCAUAGCAAGUUUCACUACAAGAAAAAGUACCUACUAUGACAGUCCUCUGUGUGACAGUUUUUGGUCUGGAGGCCUACAAUAAUAGAAUCGUGAUAGAAAUAUCGUUUAUCAAGAAAUUAUGAUAUAUUGGUGAUAUAAAUAUCAUAUAUCAUGAAACUAUGAUAGACUAGUGAUAAAUUAUUUGACUAUCAAAAAUGAAAGACUGAUUUUUUAUGUUGACUUUAAUUGUGCGGGUUUGACUUAAUUUUUACAAAUAUUAUAUUACUAAAAAAGAAGUGAAACAAUGCCGUCUCAGUUGUAUGUUUUGCAAGUGUUUGAGGAAAACAGAAACGUAAAUAACAAAAAACAAUUAAUAAAACGUUGGGUUUUGUAAAGGGGGGAAACAUUUUUGUGAGAAAAGAGGGAAAUUUUUUUCUAAGUGUUCAGAAAAUUUGCAAGCGUUAUUGUGGAAUCUCAAAAUCGAUUAGCACACUUGCAGCAAACCCUCAAAGGCCGACCAUAUAGCAAACUAACGACACCCAAACACCCAUCGUUUCAAAAUCAUUCUGGUUGUUUCACUGAAUCGUCUCUCUUUGCUGCGGUUGUCAUUGAACCGUCUCUCUUUGCUGGGAUGAAGUCAGUGCUAAUUGAAACCCAAAUUGGAAUGAGAGCAACAUCCAGGGUACUUUUAUUGGCUGAAAGAAACACAAUCGCUUACCGUGAAAGAAGACCCCAAAUCGUUGUUGCCGAAGUUGAAACCCUAGGCUUGACGGUGAAUUGAAGCUUCACACCCACUAGUGAGUCAUUGCUGCAUUUGCAUGUAUUUAAUUUGGACUAUUUAUUCAACUUUUAUGUAAAGUAGUAAAUAAUUUGUAAAAAAUGAAAUGUAUUUGCAUGUAUUGCAUAUAUUACAUAUAUUUCGGUAAUCAAUUUACUAAAUAAUUUCCCAGGAAGAUAUAAUGUUGUUAAUUUUGAGUUCUGUUUUGAGUUGUAAUCGUGCAUUGCAUAAUGUUGUUAAUUUUUUUUAAUUCUAGGUAAUUCUGAUUUAUAUUCAUGUGUUUGUGUGUGAAUUUUUUUUUUCUAGCUAUUUCUGAUAUUGAAGCUUCGUUAAGUUAAAUGAGUGUUAGUGUAUGAAGAUGGUGAUAAUCUGCAACUUAUAUAUCUUUAUGUUCUAAUAGUUGAUUCUUUAAAUAUUGGCCUGAAAUGUCUAUAACAACGCAUGAGGAAGUGAAAUUUUUUAUGUUCUAAUAGCGCGGAUUGAUUCUUUAUGUUCUACCACCACUUCAAUUAUAAUGCUUCAUUGAUUCUUUAAAUAUCUUUAUGUUCUAAUAGCGCGAAUUUACGAUGUCGUAGGUUUAACUUUGUUUAUUUCAUAUGGUGCUGUAACAUUAGACAAAUAUUCUAAGUAUGUACAUUCUUUCUUUGUUUUAUGUAUAUGUCAGGAACAUUAAUUAUUAAGCCAGAAAUGGAUAAAUCUUGGAUUCAAUGUAACCGGCUGUCGACAGAAUAUGAAGAGGGUGUCCAAAAAUUUAUAAAUUUUGCUAUAAAAAAUGCUGGAGGCAGUAGUGUCAUUAGGUGUCCAUGCCUUGAUUUUGGGAAUUUAUCAUUUGAAACACCUACAACUGUAAAAGAUCAUUUAUACAUGCAUGGUUUUGAUGUGAAAUACGACAAUUUUGGCACGGGGAAGAGAUUCGUAAGAGUCUUUCUCCUCAAAGAGAAAACCAUUUUCAGCAACAAAAUAUAGAGUUUGACAAUGGUAAUGAGUUAGAAAUGGUUAAUGAUGCUUAUAAGGGUUGUUGUGGGGACCCUAAGGCAUUCAAAGAGUUGCUAGAACAAGCUAAGAAACCCUUGUACCUAGAUGCACAAAAUUUACUAAGUUAUCAUUUUCAGUGAAAUUGUUGAAUGUGAAGGGUAGAUUUGGGUGGUCUGACAGUAGCGUUUCUGCAUUGUUGAGUGUUUUAGCAGAUGCUUUCCCUGAAAAUAAUGAAAUUCCAACCUCUAUGUAUGAGGCCAAAAAGACAAUGUCAGCUUUGGGGUUAGAAUAUGUUAAAAUUCAUGCUUGCCCAAACGAUUGCAUACUCUACAAAAAAGAGUAUGAAGGUCUUUUUGAAUGUCCUACUUGUGGGUUAUGUAGAUGGAAGAAAAAUGAUGGUACUGUAGACCAAUAUAGGAAAGGGGUUCCAGCAAAAACUUUAUGGUAUUUUCCUCCUAUACCUAGGUUUAAGCGCAUGUUUCAAUCAUCUGAAACUGCUAGAGACUUGACUUGGCAUGCAAAUGAGAGGAUGGUUGAUGGUAAACUCCGACAUCCGGCUGACUCACCAUCUUGGAAGUUAGUAGAUGAGAAAUGGCCGAUCUUUGCAUCUGAUCCUAGAAACCUUCGCCUAGCUCUAUCAGCUGAUGGAAUCAAUCCACAUAUCUCUCUUAGUAGUACAUAUAGCUGCUGGCAAAUAAUUCUUAUUACUUAUAAUCUUUCACCAUGGUUGUGCAUGAAACGAAAAUUCAUGAUGUUGUCCCUCUUAAUUUCUAGUCCUCAACAACUGGGUUUAGACAUUGAUGUGUAUUUGCAACCUCUUAUUGAGGAUUUGCAAAUUUUAUGGGAUGUUGGGGUGGAGGCAAUGAUGCCUACAAAAGUGAGUACUUUAAUUUGCGGGCUGUAUUACUAUGGACAAUAAAUGACUUCCCGGCAUACAGAAAUUUAGCGGGAUGUACUGUUAAAGGAUAUUAUGCCUGCCCAUAUUGUGGUGUAGAAACACCAAAAUGUAGACUUAAACACAGUGGAAAAAAUGUAUACAUUGGGCAUCGGCUUUGGCUUCCUCAUUGUCAUAAAUUUCAGUUCCAAGCAAAAGCCUUUGACAAUAGUGUGUGUGAUAAAACCCCUCCAAAACUGUUAAACGGGGAGGAAAUUUUUCAGCUGGUCGACUCUAUUGAUAAUAGAUGGGGGAAAAGCAAUAGUAAAAAGCGUAAAAGUGAGAACAAUGAUGAUCUCGUGUGGUGGAAGAAGAAAUCCAUAUUUUAUAAUUUAAAGUAUUAGAAGCACUUGCUUGUGCGGCAUCAAUUAGAUGUUAUGCACAUUGAAAAGAAUGUGUGUGAGAACAUCGACGAUACACUGCUGCAUAUUCCUGGAAAGUCCAAAGAUAGACUGAAGUCAAGGAUGGAUCUCUUGAAAAUGAAAAUUAGGCCUAAAUCAGCACCACAAGUUAAAGGAAACAACAAUCGUACAUGGCUUCCUCCUGCUUGCCACACCUUAACUAAGGAGGAAAAAGUAAGAUUCUGUGCAGCUUUGAAAAGUAUCAAGGUUCCUACUGGAUACUCUUCAAAUAUUAGGAAUCUUGUGUCAAAAAAUGACUUUAAACUCCAGGGUCUUAAAUCCCAUGAAUACCAUGUUCUUAUGCAACAACUUUUGCCAAUUGCCGUAAGGUGUGUGCUGCCCAAACAUGUCAAAGAAGCUAUUAUUAGGUUCUGUUUCUUCUUUAAUUCGUUGUGUGCGACUGUGAUUGACAUGACAAUGCUAGAUGAAUUGGAGAAAAACAUCGUAGAGACUUUGUGCUUGCUUGAAAAAUGUUUCCCCCUUCUUUUUUUGACAUAAUGUUUCAUCUUACUAUUCACUUAGUGAGUGAAGUUAGACAAUGUGGCCCUGUAUAUUUUCGAUUGAUGUAUUAUUUUGAGCGAUACAUGAAAAAUCUAAAAGGCUAUAUUCGAAACCGUAACUGUCCUGAGGGUUGCAUAGCGGAGAGUUAUAUUGCCGAGGAAGCCUUAGAAUUUUGUGAAGAAUACUUGGAAAACAUGCCCACAAUUGGGGUUCCACUUGGACAUGUGCAGAAUUUAGAAAUUGACAAGCCCAUGAGUGGUGGACAAAUGGUGGAAGUUGAUCGAACUUCAUUAGAUCAAGCACACUUGUAUGUUUUACAUAACACUGAGGAAAUUCAACCUUAUAUAAGGUGAUGUUAUCUAACUUGUGUUAUUUUAGUUUUAUAUUUGUCAAGUUUUGGUAGUUUAGGAACCUGAAAAUUUUGUCUUUUUAACUGAUUUUUAGAGAGCAUGAGGAUUGGUUACAACUUUGCCAUCCACGAAAAAAUGAGAAGUGGUUGCAAGAUGAACACAACCAAACAUUUGCAGAUUGGCUAACAGAUAAGGUUUUGAUAACAUUAGUUUAAUUAAUUCAUUUUUUCCUUUCUGUUUCGGUUUGUGCUUGUUUAACAUUAUAUUCCUGUCGAUUAAUAAUAGGUAAAUAUAUUGAUAGAGAACGGUCACGUUGUUACUCAAACAAUCUGUUGGUUAUCCCAAGGGCCUCGUCCUUAUGUUUUCCAACAUCCUGGUUUAUGACAUAAAUGGUUUUCACUUUGUUACAAGAGAUUGAGACUUAAAUAGAGUUACUCAAAAUAGUGGAGUGUCUUGGUUACACAAACAAUUUCAGUCGCAAGUUCAAAAGAUAAAAAUCUUGUCACUUCUAACAUCAUAUACUAUGAAGUGAUUAGAGAGAUUUGAGAUCUAGAUUAUGUUAUCUUUAGAAUUCCAAUAAUGAAGUGUGACUGGGUACAUACCAGAGGUGGUGUUAUGAAGGAUAGACUCGGAUUUACUUUGGUAGACUUGCAACGAAUGGGCCAUAAAUCUGAUCCAUUUAUUUUAGCUUCUCAAGCCAACCAAGUUUUUUAUGUACCUGAUCAGCUUGAUAAGAAGUGGUCAAUUGUAUGUCAAAUGCCUAGAAGAGGUAAACCCACACAAAGAAGUGAAGAUGCAGUGGAUUAGCCUUCGUUGACUAUUGAAUUUCCAAGUGCUGAUAACAUAAACUCUAUUGACGAUGAUGCUACAAUGUAUGCCCGAGACAACAAAAAGGGAAUUUGGAUUGGACCUUGAAUAUCGUUUCUGUGUUUGUUUGCAUGAGUUGUUUGUUGAGUCCUUCUCAAAAUGAUAUAUGUUAAGGUUAAUACAAGAAGUAUUUUAUGCUAUCUGUUAUUAUUUUAUUUUGUAUUUUUUGGUAGUUUUUAUAUGGUAACGUAUUCUCAUUAUUUGAUUUUGUUCUGCAGUUGUGAUAUUCAUCAUGGAUAAGGAAAAAAAUGUCCCUGAGAUUUCUUCGCGAAUGAUAUGAUCCUGAAACGCCCCCGGCCGAUCAUGUCCCUGAUCUUGAUGAGUUUGGAGAUGGGAACGAGGAUGAACCUGGGAGCAGUAAGCGAAGCAGAGGUGGCACUGUUGGGUCAGAACAAAACAAAAAGAGGAAAAGAAGUGGAAGGUUUGUGGUUAAAUACAACAGCCUUGGUGUUCCAGUUGGUGAAGAAGCUAUUGAGCUGGCUACGUAUAUUGGUGUUUUGGCUCAUAUAUCAAUUCCAAUCCUCUACAACGAUUGGCGUAGAGUUCUAGAUGAUACGAAGGAGCGUCUAUGGGAGUCUAUUAAGGUAUAAAAUAAUUUCCUUAAGACGAUUACUCUAGUUUUAUUAUUGCUGGAAAAAUCUGAAAAAUCUCACAUUUUAAUAAUGAAACUUGAAGGUGUACUUCGUGGUUCAUCCUUGAAGUAGGAAGCAAGUACUACAAGCCAUCGGAGCUGCAUUUCGGAACUUUAAGUACACUCUAAUGAGGAACUAUAUUUUACCAUUUGUUAAUGACCGUAAAAGGCUUUUCAAGCCACCAACACGGUACAUCACAAUUGAUAAGGAAAGUUGGAUUAAGUUUGUGAAGGAAAGACUAUCUAAAAAAUUUCAAGUGAGUGUGUUUAAUUCAAGUAUUAAUGAUAUAUCAAUGCUUAUGACAUUUUUCCUUAUGUGUUUAUCCAUUGUUUGUUUGGUUGUUUUAACCAAAAAGUUAGUGGUGUGAAUAAACUUAGGCGGGCACAAAACAUGUUUAAUCAUUGCCUAAGUAGAAAAGGUUACAUUGGGUUAAUGCAAGAAGUGGUAUGUACUGUGAGUUAGUUGCUUACAUUUUACUGUUGUUUGGUUAAUGCAAAUAAUGAUUGUUACUAACAUUUUAAUUUUUUAUUAAUGUUUUUACAGUGCUCAGAAACAGGCCUUACUGAAGAAGAAGUGGACAAGAGUGUUCUUUGGAAGAGAGCUUGGCAAAUGAAAAAUGGAGGAUACCACCCCGAUGUUGAACCAGUUAUUAAAAAAAUAGAAAGAAAUUUUUUGCUUACUACUGUAAUUCUAGUUGUGAUUACUUAUACUUUGAUAACAAUAGCUUACUUAAUUCAUUUGUGUGGUAGGAUAAAUUGGAGAUGGAAGCUAAGAAAGGAAAGAUGUGGUCAUCCGGAAAAAAAUGAUAUGCUGGCACAAUCUUUGGGAAAAGCUCCAAAAUGUGGUCAUAUGCAAGGAGUGGGCAAGUUUGUAACCCCGUCUCUGUAUUUUCAAACUUGCCAGAGGCCUACUGAUAAAGACAGGCAAAGAGAGGACCGUCUAUGGAGGGAAUCAAUUAACCGGCAGUUGGAAGAAAUGAGAAAUGAACUGAGAAAAACACCUCGUCAUUCAGAUAUAGCAAGUUCCAGCUACCCUCGCGUGCCUGGUGAAAACAAUAAUGUUGUUGGAGAUGAUAGUAUAGUGUCCGUUCAAGCUGAAGCAGUUGCUGAAACACCAAAGGUCAGUUUGUUUACUAUUUUUACUUAUUAUUUCUAGAUUUAGUUUGUUGUUGGAUAAGGGUUGCUGUAGUUACUGUUCUUACCUGUUGUUUGUGGAUUUAGUUUGCUGUAUGUUUACUAUUUAUACAUAUGUUGUUUCUGAAGUGUCAUUUGAUAUUGUUAACUACUUUGUAAGAUAAAUUUAGAGUAUUUAGAAACUAUUUAUGCCAAUCACACUAAACAAUUAUGUUUGUAGCAGCCUGAUCAUUUGAAAAAUAAGAAGCAAGGGACACCUAAAAACACAGUAGGUAUGAACCAGCCAAUAGUAAACUCUAAGAAAGAGACAGAUAUAGCAAAAAAAAACAAGGAUACACUUGCCAAAAACUCUCUGUCAUUGCAAGAAAGAGUCCAAGAUUGAACCCAACUGAAAUCCCAAUGGAGAUGCCUGAUGAUUUGUUACAAGGAAAAAAAUGGCAACCCUAAACAUCAAGGCACAAAAAAACAUUUGAACUUUGAAUCAGCAGAACAGCAUAAUGAUAUAGUAGAGAUAGGACAUACAGAUGCUGUAAAACAGACCAAAGACGAGGGCAAAAAAGUUGCAGUGAAGCCUUUGCCAGCAAGGAGGAACACAAGGCAGCAAGAGAGGUACAACAAAACAAGAUUUCGUUGCUGCAGUUGUUUGGCACAAUGUGUGAAGCUAAGAUGUCAGACCAAGAAUGGAUUCUAUAUCUACUGGAUGAUGGUGUUUUCCAAUUGGAGGGGAUUAGAGCUCAUAUUGGAAGGCGUGACUGUAGUGCAGUUCUGUCAAUGGAUGCUACAGGAGUAAACAUAAUCAAAGUCUAUAUUGCGUAAGUGAUUCAUAAUAAUUCUAGUUUUAUGUGUACUUUUUAUGGGAGUUCCAAUUAAUGGACUUUAACAUUGUUUGUCUAUUGUUUAUCAGGAUGUUGUAUGCUUCCAUUCUCCUUGGGAAAAGAGGAGUGAAACCAUUUGGAUUCGUUCGUCCAGGUCAGGUUUCACUAGGCGAAGAACGUAAUCCUACUGCAUCAUUUGACCUUAGGGCACGUGGAGUUUGUGAUCGAUUGAAAAAAGUGAAGAAGGGACAAUUCAUCUUUAUGCCUUAUAAUCCCUAGUAUGCUCCUUUAAUACUUUUCAACUCAUAUUAAUUUCCUUUCUUGCCUUAAUUUACUGAAAUUGCUACCUUAAUGUUCUUUCUUUUAUUAUAGUUAUCAUUGGGUGCUAGUCAGCUUUGAUGUGUUGAAAAAAGAAGUUUAUUAUCUCGAUUCUUAUGGGGGAGAUCCUGAUGAUGAUUUAAAAGAGCUCAUUAAAGUGUAUGUUCAAUUUUUUUUAUUACCAUUGUCAAUUUAAAAUUACUUUUACAUAGUUUACAGAUACUUUGUUACAAUUUGUUUUUUUUUGUAUACAGCUCCAUGACAAUAUUUAUAGCACAAGAGGGUAAGGAGAAAUGGAAUUAUAAUAAGAUGGUCAGAUCUGUAAAGGUAUGAACUAUUACCUUAACUAUAAUUAUAUAUUACCAUGCUUAAUGGUUAUUAUAAUGAACUGUGCAGUUGCUGAUUGUGAACAGGUCCCACAGCAACCAGCAAGUUCAGUCGUGUGUGGAUUUUACGUCAUGAGAUUCAUGAAAGACUUAAUUAAUGACUUCUCUUUACUAAUGAACAAUGUGAGUUCCUUGAUCAUAAUUUGCUUCAUAAAAAAGAACAUGUCCUGUUUCAAAGUUUCACUACAUAAUAUUUAUUUUUCAUAAAUAGUUCAACAGAAAGACAACAUAUUCCGUUGCUGAAUUAGAUGAAGUCCGUAUUGAGUGGGCAAACCAUUUUUCUAGAGUACUUGUUGUUAUGUGAGGUAACCCUUACCUAUUAUGUUGUUAUUGUGAGUUCAUUGAUGAAAUAAAUUAAUUUACUACCUAUAUUUUACUUGGGCAGUUAUCUAGCUUAUUAUACUUCUAUGUUGGAUUAUGAUAAAGAUGGUGGGUACUGCUGGAGUUGGCUAGUUUUUUUCUUUGUUUGGAAAAUAGCUCCUGGAUAUUGAUGCAAUUUUACACAUUUCGGUUGUGCUUAGGUUGGAUUUUCACAUUUGGGAACUGCUGGCCUUGUCUGAUCAGUAUUUUUGGCUCCUCUUGUGUUGCUGGAAGUGUUGUUGGAAAUGUUGCUAGAAAUGAACUAUGUUGUUGCCUUUGUUCAUGUUGGUAGAAAUGACUCUGUUGUUGGCUUUCUUAUGCUACUGGAAUUGAACUGAUCAUGGUUCAUUUGUGUUGUACAUGUUGCUAGAAUUUAGUUUUUAGGUUGUUACAAUACUCUUCUUCUAUUUAUGUUGGACUUGUCACUCUGGAAUUUGAUUAAAUUAUGUUUGCUGACAAUUAUGAAAUCUUAGUCAAUGUUAUCCAUUUAAAUUUCUUUGUCAGUGAAUUUUUAAUUGCAAUAUUAAUUUUAAUAAUCUAAUUAAUUAGCUAAUUUAUGAAAUAUUAAUUUCUAAUAAAUCAAUUGCUGGAUUGUUAUUAAAAUGAUAAUAAUUUCAUGGUGCAAACAAAAUAACCAUUUUUUAUUAAUUGUAAUUUCAAAUUUUGAUUUAAUUAAAAAAAUUCAUUUAAUUAUAAUUUGCAUUUCGCGCCAAAUUUAAUUUUCCCGCCAAAAAUUCAAAAUAUGGCGCGCAAAUUUAAAAAAAAGAGCCAAAUUCAAAUUUAUUAUAUUCCCCUCUAAAUAAAGUUAUGACAGUUAUGUAGCUGGUAAUAUCUAUCACAGAUUAUGAAUGGUAUUGUUCUGUCAUCAAUUCUUGACGGUGGCUACAAUGACGGUAUGAACAACCGUCAUCCACCCCCUACUAUGACAGUUUUUGCCUGUCAUAGUAGGCACUUUUUCUUGUAGUGUUUGGAAUUGUGCAUUUUAUCUUUUUGGCUAAAAAAAGAAAUAGAAAUCAAAUCCUAGGCCAUACUCAUCAUCCUUAGUUUUGACGGAUGAUUGCUUGAUUGGUGUCAAAAUAACUUGUCAAAUGUACUUCGCAUAAAAAUUAUUUUUAGAUUUAAGCGUUCGCAUUUCAUGUACGCACUUGUGUCCAUAUGUGUGUGGGUGUAUGUGUACAUAAUGACUAUCUGGUAAGGAUUCUCAUAUUUUAUCAAAGUGCAGGAAUUUUUAUUGAAAAUUUUCUCUUUAUAUAUGAUUAAAAAAUUAUAUUACUUUUAGCAACGACUUAGGGAAUAAUCCGUUUUUGGUUUGCGCUACUCGUCAUUGCCUUAUCAAAGUUGAUCUAAAAGAACACAUUAUUUUAGUAUUUGAAAAGUGGACAGUUUUUAACAUAUUGAGUGUCACUAUGUCAAUAAUCCACAUUUUAUAAAUUAAAAAGGCUUAAAAUAUAUUCCUUAAAAAUGUCACAUGCGUAAAAAUAUAACUAUGUGUCUCAACUAUAUAAAUGUAGUAUUACUCAUAAAGAUAUAAAUAUCAAAGGUGAUCUCAUUAAUAAAUGUAAUACUAAUAAUGUCAUUCGAAAUGUGAAUAAUUUUUAGAAGAAUUUCACUUCCUAAAAGUUAUUUGUUAUCCUCGUGCAAAUGCAUCAGACCUCGUGCUACUACUCUCUCUUUACCAACUAAUAAUUUAUCCUUAUACUACUAAGAUAUCAUAAAACCUCAUGUUGGCAAGAAAACUCUAUUAUUCUACAAGUUACAUGAGCUCUCACAUUUUUCCUCUCGAGGUCUAGUUCAAUUCUCACAAGCCUCUCAAACUUUCUUUAAGCACUAGCUUUUUUGUUAUUCAAGGAAACACCUAAUUGGCUUGACAAAAUCUACCAGCAACCUCAUUAGUAACACAUGCUACUUUACUAAGUCAUCUCAUGGGACCACAUGUUACACGUGACGUAUGGCAUAAUUACACCUGUAAUACCCAGCCAACUGAUCUCUUAUUCUUAUAUAAAAGACUUUAGCUAUCCUCAUUAGUUCAUUACCUUCGAACCUUACCUCUUGGAACCUCCAUCACCAAUCUUACAAAAUAUUUGUUUUAGAAUAAAAUUUAAAAUUUUUAUUUUCCUCUAAUUUCCAAUUCUUUUUCUUUUGUUUUAAAGAACAAUCUACAAGUUUUGAGUUGAUAAGAGCUGUAUAUAUAUGUAAUGUUUUUUCCUCUUUUCCUUCGAUUUUAUCAUUAAGCUUUAUCUAAAAGCAGUAAGAAAAAUAAAAAAGAAUCUAAUAAGUGAAAUAUCAAACGGAGCUUCCUUAAAGUCAGUUGUUUAAGUAUAUAUCGAGUUGCCUGAAAUCUUUAUACUGUUUCGAUUUUGUAAUCUCUCUCUUUUCCUUUAUUUAACGUAUUUUUCAUUAUAUCGCUACUCGAGUUGGUCUUUUACCUCGUCAUCAUCAAUUCAAUUGAGCGAUCGCUUUCCAAUUAAACCAAUGUGGAAAGAAUAUGGCCACCAUUCAAGAUACCAACAUUAUUACGCUCAACACAUUGCAAGAUUUGCAAAGACCCCAUCAUGCUUGAAAGAAUAAGAGCCGUUUCGCUUAGGCUUGGAACUAGUUCCUCCUAAACUAUUGCCUUUUAACUCCAAGUUUCGGAUGCGUCAUGUGAUACGCAACAAAAAGAAAGUAUAAAUAGAAUAUGGUGGGCCUUUCACUCUGUUCUAGUAAUCAAUUCAUUUAUUUCUUGUGCUACAGCAUAUAUACCUAAUACUUCUGUUUAAUUUGCUGCUCAGCCUGCUCUCAUCUCCUAUAAGCUUAAACGAUUGUACGCAACUGGCCCACGAGGAAUAGAGUUCUUAAUUUUUUUUUCUAAGAUAAGUAUUUGGAUUUAUUCCAUCGGCGACUUUAUCUCAAAAAGAAAAUGAUGAAGUGAAAGUUGAUAAUCAUGAAUCAUUCUAUCCUGCAGAACUUCAUGUUUUUCAAAACUCUAAAUCUACAAUUUUAAUGCGAAUGUUUACGGAAGAGUAUAUAUUUAAUAACUUGUUAGAGGUGAGCCUGUGCAGCAAGAUAUAGUUACAUUAAAUUCUUUAGCAUGAAUAUUUCUGUUUAGAGACUCAAACCCAACAAUAUUCUCCGCAAAUAGACUGAACAGUUCUUGAUAAUUUUUUUUUCCUUUUUUUUAAUUUCUUCCCCUGCUAUGGUACGCAAUGGCAAACUAGUUGAAUCAGAAACUUAUUCAUCACUAGAUUUAGUUGAUUUUCCAGGUAAAAAAAGUUUAUCAACUCCUCGUGUUUUGUCGAUUCUUUCAUCAGUUCUUGAGAGAUCAAUCCAGAAAAAUGAAUCUUCAUCGAAGGCAUCAAAAAAGAAUGAAGUUGUCACAAUAUUUCAUUGUUCACAAGCACCAAGUUUGAGCAUUAGACAAUACAUUGAACGCAUAUUCAAGUACUCCAGGUGCAGUCCUUCUUGCUUUGUUGUUGCAUAUAUAUACCUUGAUCGGUUCCUCCAACGAAUCAAGGGUUGCCUUGCGAGACUCAACGUUCAUCGCCUUCUGAUCACGAGCUUGAGAUGAAUUUCUUGUUUACUCUGGAGUUUAAGCUUCUUGUGACUACAGAGGUUUUCGCGAAGUACCGUUCACAGCUAGACAUGGAAGGAGCAGCAGCCGAAGAGUAGUGAACAAACCGAUUUUGGUGUGAAAAUGCCUGCUCUGUCAUUCCAUCCUAUACAUAUAUAUACAAGAUUAUAUUUCGAGUAUUCUCCACAAAUCAAGCUAGACCUCCUAUAAUCAAUCAACCUUCCUAAACUAAUUGAUUUACAUACCAAGAAUGGAAGGGAGAAUAUCACAAGAAUAUUAUGCCAGUUAAGUACAAGAUUGACUCCAAUUACAGCACCCUAACACCCCCCCUCAAGUUGGAGCAUGCAAGUUUCGUAUGCCCAACUUGCGAAGAAAUGAAUCAAAGUCGACCACCCAAUGCUUUAGUGAAUAUGUCGGCCAAUUGAGAUUGAGUAGGAACAUAGGAUGGGCUAAUGGAAUCAUUUUGAAUCUCAUCGCGAACAAAAUGACAAUCAACUUCUAUGUGCUUUGUUCGCUCAUGGAACACUGGAUUGGCAGCAAGAUGCAAGGCUGCAUGACUAUCACAAUAAAGUCUCAUUGGAGUGGUAUAAUGCACACCCAACGACAUUAACAAUCCUUUCAGCCACUUUAACUCACAUGUAGUGGUAGCCAUAGAACGAUACUCCGCUUCUGCUGAUGACCGGGAGACAGUGUGUUGUUUCUUAGUCUUCUAGGAGAUAGGAGAAUGACCAAGCAUAACAAGCCAUCCAGUCAAGGACCGACGUGUCAACGGACAGCUCGCCCAAUCUGAGUCACACCAACCAUACAAGGUCAAGUCACAAUCAGUCUUUAACAGAAUUCCUUGCCCAGGAUUUCCUUUUAAAUACCGUACAACCCGUAAUGCGGCAUCCCAAUGAGCUUCUCGUGGCUGUUGCAUGAAUUGAGCCAACACAUGCACAGCAUAGGACAAUUCCGGACGAGUUGCUGAAAGAUAAAUCAACCUACCCACCAAACGCCGGUAGCGCUCAGGAUCAUCAAGAAAAGGUCCAUAUGUCAAAGCGAGAUUGUGAUUUUGCUCUAAUGGAAAGGAAACAGGUUUUGCCCCGAGCAAACCAGUUUCAGUAAUGAUGUCUAAAGCAUAUUUGCGUUGACAGAGAAAAAUCCCAUCUGGACCGCAAGCCACCUCAAUCCCAAGAAAAUAUUUCAGCACCCCCAAAUCCUUCAUAUGAAAACAAUCACUCAAGUAUGUUUUAAAGUUCUGAAUAGCAGCAUGAUCGUUUCCCGUUACAAUGAUAUCAUCAACGUAGACAAGAACAUGAAUCUGUUGCUCAUGCUGACGAAGAGUGAAGAGAGAGUAGUCGGAAUAUGAUUGUGAAAAGCCAUAAUUUUUCAGCGCAGCAGCUAACUUAGCGAACCAACAUCGAGGAGCUUGUCUAAGACCAUAUAAUGACUUUCGUAAGCGACACACCAUUCCUCGUUGUUGAGAAUGAAAGCUAGGAGGCAUACGCAUGUACACUUCUUCAUUCAAAUCACCAUGUAAGAAAGCAUUAUGUACAUCCAUUUGAUGAAGUUCCCAUUUUCGAGCUGCAGCCACUGCUAGGAAGGUUCGAACAGUCACCAUUUUGGCCACGGGUGCAAACGUCUCCUUAUAAUCAAUUCCCUCAACUUGCUUGUUGCCAAGUAUCACCAAACGAGCCUUGUAACGUUCAACCGUCCCAUCAGCUUGAUACUUGAUCUUAAACACCCAUUUACACCCAAUAGCUCGUUUCCCAACUGGUAAUGGUUCCACUAUCCAUGUGCCAUUAUUUUCUAGUGCAUGUAUCUCCUGCUGCAUUGCUUCUCUCCAUUUCUUAUCUUUGACUGCCUCAGCAAAUGAGUUGGGUUCAACACCUGCAGUUAUGGCUGCCAAGAAAGCACAAUGUCGCAAAGAAAAUUUAUCACAGUUCACAUAACGUGCUAUGGGAUAGAGGCUACCUGAGGAUUGCAUAUGGCCAAGUGAACGUGCAGGGGACCUGACAGAGGGGUGCAGCACCUGUGUGGUGUGGAUCACAUAGUCGUUCAGCCUUGUGGACAAUUGGCGUUGUCGAUGUCCUCGUCUCAAUUGUGAUUCUGCACCAGCAACCCCCCUUUCCUCAGGAGCCACACCAUCAACAGGCUCUUCCUUUGUUUCCUCCAUUUGUCCAUUUAUGCUAUCUUCCUCCCUAACAGGUUGCUCACCUGCAUAUGCUCUUCAUUCUACAUCGUCUACAAAAACAUCAUUAGAUCCCGUCAUAUUCCCCAUUUCUUCAUCACAAAUUACAUCCUUCAUAUAAGGAAACUCAUGCUCCACAAAUACCACAUCCCGAGAGACAAAAAACUCUUUUGUCUUCAGGUCAUACAUGGUCCACCCUUUUUUCCCAAAAGGGUAUCCAACAAAGGUACAUUUCCGGCUUCGACUAUCAAAUUUGUCUCCUCUAUGCCCACGGUUAUGAGCGUAAGCCAAACAACCAAACACUCGCAAAUUGUCAUAUGAAGGUAUCUUCCCAAAUAAAACUUCAUACGGUGUCUUUCCUCCUAAAAUAAGAGUUGGAGUUCGAUUUAUCAAAUAACUUGCUGUCAAUAUACACUCGCCCCAAAACUCAAGUGGCAAGUUUGCCUGGAAACGAAGUGCUCUAGCAAUAUUACGAAUAUGACGAUGUUUCCGUUCAACUCUUCCAUUUUGUUGGGGUGUUCCGACACAUGAGGUUUGAUGAAUUAUCCCAUGGGUAGCAAAAAAUCCAUCUAAGCAAGUAAACUCAGUGCCAUUAUCGCUACAAACUAUUUUCACAAAAGCAUUAAAUUGUCUUUCCACCAUAACUAAGAAAUUGCGAAUGAUUCGUCCCACAUCUGAUUUGUUAUUUGCCAAAUAAACCCACAAUCCUCUCGAAAAAUCAUCCACAAUAGUCAAAAAAUAAUAAGCACCACAAAAAGUUGGCGUCCUAUAUGGACCCCAUAAAUCACAGUGAAUCAUUUCCAGAACAGCAAAAGCUUUAUUAUUACUAGAAAUAAAUUCAUUACGACAUUGUUUUGCAAGUAAACAAACAUCACAAUUCUUGGGAUAUGCCUUAUUUUUUGUAGUAUCAACCAUUGGCAACAAUUUAAUAACUUUUUCAGAAGGGUGGCCCAACCUCUGAUGCCAAAGAGCAACUGUCCCUUUUGCAACAAUCUGCAAUGCUCUUGUAGAUUCAAUUUCUCGAAAGUAGUAAAGCCCCCCGCGUUGUUCACCCGCACCAAUCAGCAUCCUCGAAGUGCGGUCAUGUAUAACACAAAAUUUAUUAGUGAACUGGAUAAUACAAUUUGAUUCUUCGACCAAUUGUGACACUGAAAUCAGAUUACAAUUCAAACUAGGCACAUAUAACACAUUGGUUAAUUUUAGACGUCCAUCAAGGACUAUAUUCCCUUUCUUCUCUGCCAUUACUUCUUUCCCAUCUGGUAGACCAACUGGGCAUGCGAUUACAGUCUUCACGUCACAUAGCAAUUUGAGGCUCCCUGUCAUAUGAUGAGAUGCUCCGGUAUCAAUUAUCCAAGCUCUCAUAUUAUGCUCACCAUUUAGUUUUUCUUGAUUCUUUUCCGUCUGUGAGUUCAAAAGAUUAAGAAGCAUACUCCAUUGCUCGUUACUCAGCCCUUUGACUCCAGUUUUAUCUACAUCUGAGACAUGGCCCUGUAUGCCACUUCCUUGACUUGUCAUGUGGGCUGCAUUGGCUUUAAUCUGACUUCUUCUCCCUUUUCCUCCUUGUGCUAUGCCCUGACGUUGUCCACCUUGACCACGACCUGCUCCACGCCCACCAGUCCGUGAUCGAUCUCCCCACCAUUCUGGAUACCCAAUCAAUUGGAAGCACGAAUCCGCAUCAUGCCCCGUUUUUCUACAGUGUUUACAGAUUACACUAGAUUUUUCUCUGAUCUCUAUUGGCCCUUUCACUCCUCCUUGAACAGCAAAUGCUACUGGUUCUCCACGUCCUUCCUUUCCCCGAGUUAUGGUCUGUACCCUCUCCUCUUGAACAACCAAGGAAUAUGCUCUGUUUAAUGGCGGCAGGGGAUCAGUGCUUAAAAUAUUAGAACGAACGGACCCAUAUAUUGUAUCGUCCAGGCCUAUUAAAAACUUAUGAAGCCUCUCUUCUUCACGUUUCUUGUUAAGCUUGGCUUCCAAUUCACAUGUACAUCCUUCACAGCUGCAUAUCGGAUAUUGUUCAUAAUUUGCCAAUUCCUCCCAAAUUAGUUUCAGGUUGCCAUAAUAACUCAAGAUGGUCAUUCCUCGUUGCUUACAUUCAGCCAGUUCAGAUUUGAGUUGAUGAACACACGGUCCGUUUCCAACCGAGAACCGCUCUUUUAUAUCAUCCCAUAACUUCUUCGCCACUUCCAUGUGGGUUAUGGUAGAGCGCAAGGUUGGUUUGAUUGUGUUCAAGAUCCAUGACACUACCAUGGAAUUGACUGUCCACCAAUCGUCUAGCUCAGGUUCCUUCGCAGGUUCUUUCAUGCUUCGAUCAACAAAGCCGAACUUCUUUUUGGCUCGUAGCGCCGUUUUUAUCGCUCAUGCCCAUUCAUCGUAAUUGUCUCCCUUUAGUUGAACUUGUGUGAUAAUAUUCCCAGGAUUAUCACUUGCCGAGAGGCAAUAUGGUGAAAUCUGAUUUUUCACAUGUUCAUCACUCACCUUUGAUGUGUCUGAUUUAGUCUCCAUGGCAAGGCUCUGAUACCAUGAACAAACCAAUUUUGGUGUGAAAGUGCAUGCUCUGUCAUUCCAUCAUAUACAUAUAUAUACAAGAUUAUAUUUCGAGUAUUCUCCACAAAUCAAGCUAGACCUCCUAUAAUCAAUCAACCUUCCUAAACUAAUUGAUUUACAUACCAAGAACAGAAAGGAGAAUAUCACAAGAAUAUUAUGCCAGUUAAGUACAAGAUUGACUCCAAUUACAGCACCCUAACAAGUAGUGGGUUAGUCCGAUGAUUGAAGCAUUGGGAACCAAACUUGGCCGGCUGAACAGGGACGGCAAAACCUGACGGCAGGUUACAACUGCAGAGUCCCUUCACAAUGCCCAUCGGCAUACUGUGAUGAUUGAAAUGGUUUUUGGCUCAAUCCAGAUUCCAAACACCAGCAAACCAACUGGUAAUUUAUAGGUGCCCCAUCUCCCUGAGUAAUUUGUGCCCAGUUCCAUAAGAGGAGAGAGGAAAAUUGUACAACGAUAAAUUGUCAAUGUACGUUAUGAUAAAAUGCAUUUUGUUCCCAUUAAAGAGAAGAAAAGAGUAUAACAAAGGGCAUCAAUUUUAAAAAAUGGGAAAAAUCUAUAGCAAAAUUUUUUUAUUGCAGAAUCCCUGCACAAUAACGUGUUCCAUUUUACUUGUGAUUUAUGUUCUGUUACUGGAACACUUUCCCAAACUAGCUUACCUGAUAAAACACUUCCAAAAGAUACAAAAGAAGUUGAAGAGUAAAACUAAUGACAUGACAUUUAAAAUAAAAUUUAUUAAAUCCUCUAAAAACGAGACAUCCGAGGAAACCAAAUGAAUUGGCACAAUCAGCCGUAUCUGAGGAUGUGGCUGGUUGAGAGACAAAUGUUCAGCCUUUAUGAUGAGGAAGAAUUUUUCCUUGCCAAGUAGACAUGGUAAAGCUACCAGCCCAACUAUGGUAACGGCUACUCCGACUACAAUGGUGGAACACAAAAAAUUACAUGGUAUAAUAGGUAGAGCUCAGUACCAUGCCUAACAAAUCAGUUUGAAAUAAUAAAAAUGAUCAAUCAUAUGAUGAGUUUAUGAUAUUAAUUGAACAUCAGAAAAUGAAGAGUAGAGAGGAUUCAUCGAGCUGAAUCAUGUCCUCUGACCAGUUUACAGGACUGUCUGUCUUCCCAUCUUCGAUACAGCAAGAGGAUUCAUCGAGCUGAAAACAUAUUGACCUUGGCUUGAAUUUAUUAUUUUGCUGAAAAUGGAAAGUCUCUUUCAGUGCAGAAAUCAGAGGAAUUGACACGCAUAUGACCAUCCACCUGAUGACGCCAUAGAUACUUAUUUUGUAGCAAAAUUAACAUAUUUCGAAGUAAUUAACUAAUACUGCAUAUUCCUGACAUGAACAUAAUAUAAAAUCCGAUUAAAAUUUUUUCCAAUUAUUAGUUAAUUAAUUAAAUUCCUCCACGACAUGAAGUCAGAUGUACUUAAAAUCUAAUGGCCUUAAACAAAUUAAUUCACCAAAUGACACAUUUUGGAUAAAACCCCUUUCUGAUAUUAUGCGUGAACCAAUUUUGCGGAAAACUACCAAGUAACAAUUACCGGGUUGAUGAGCAGAAGUGAACCCAAUAACUUCAAAUCAAGAAACAUUGUCCAAACCACCGAUACUAUCGAACAUCAACAGAACAAGCCAACACAUAAGGAACAAAGAUUUACAUGGUUUGACAAAUAUGCUUAUAUCCACGGUGGAGAUGCUAGUAUCCGGUAUGCGAAGAAAACUAGCGUACACCUCUGCUCAUAAUAGACCUCUCAGAAUCUGAUACAAGCACAAAGAGAGACAAAUCAUAAGCCUUAAACCAAUCCCAAGAGUACUUUUCCUCUCCAGAUCUCUCUCUUAUAUGUUUUCCAAAAAUGAGCCAAUUUUUUAUACCCAAUUCCUUACAAUCAACUGAAAAUAUACACACAUAAAGGAUCCAGCCCCAUCUUGCCCAUGCUCUUGUUAUGUUUCACCCUUUUGACUUCUAUAGGUAAGAUUUCACAAUAUUCAUGGUCUUCACUGGGCUCACGUAAUUCCUUUGCUAAUUUUUUUUUAAAAUCUAAGUUGCAUGCCCAACAAAUCAGUCAUAGUUUAACAUAUUAAAGAAGAGAAAAAAAUCACGGAGUGGUGUGCUGACAUGUAAUUUAAUAUCAGGAAAUGAAGAGAAAAUGUGACACACUUAUGACCAUCAAAGCAGAUGAUGUAGUAGAUGAGUAUUUUGUAGCAAGCUUUACAUACUUAUCAAGUGACUAGUAUUUUUUACUUUAAAAAGUAAUGUUUGAAGUCAUUAGAUAUCUUACCUGUAAAUUCAAACUACUGAGUCCUAAUAAUUACAUAAUACUUGUUCCACUUCUUAGUGAGAUUCUAGUUCUUAUUCUCAGAUUACCAAUAAUAUAAGAGCAGACGAAAGAGACGUGUGAGGUGAAGGUUUCAUUCACAACCUUGUCAUUACUUGGUUUUUAACUUGCAGAAGAAGCCAAAGCUGAAGAACCGAAAUUAAAAAAAUAAAAAGUAAAAAUUUAAAGAAAAAUGAUUAAUGAGAUAGAAAUAGUGUUGGCCAAAAUCCAUCUCUAUGUUUUUCACACAGUGGGAAUUGUCGGUUGGAAAAUUAAUUGCUUUCUUGUUCUAAAUCAGAUACUAUCUGUGAAUGAUAUAACUCAGUACCUCACUUCAUGCAAGCUUUGAUAUAUUAUUCCUUCUAGCUAUAUAUCCAGUGCUAAUUGUUUUAUCAAAAAUUUGGUGUACUGAAGUGAACCCAAUAACUUCUAGGUAGAAGCAACAAUGUCCAAUUAAACCGCUAAUGCAAUCAAUCAAACAGCAAGGAAAGGAUCAACAACACAAAAAGCACACGCAGGGCACAAAGAUUUACAUGAUAUGUCCACGGGUGGUGAUGCUGGUAUCCACUAUAUAUGUGAUGAAAACAAGUGUAUAUAUAUAAAGAACACCACCUGUCUCCUCACAAUAACCCUCUAGAAUACAAGCACAAAUGAAAAUAAGCCAAUUCCUGCUCUGCACUGCCCUCAUGUACGUAAUUCCUCUGCUAAGAAAUAUCGCCUUAAAAUCUCGGUAGCAUAUUGUCACGGGAUGAGUAUUUUGCGCAGCUAACCCGUGCGGCACUUAGACAACUUUGCCGAAUGUUGCUAAGUAAGCCUAGAGCUUCUCGAACUAGAGAAGAGAGCAAUAGAGCCGAAUAAGAAACUUGUAUUGCACAAAAGAGAGAUUACAAUACUUGAGUUGCUUACAAAGCUUGUUGUUGUGUUUGUUGGAUGCAAAUGCCUAAUGCCAUCCCAUAUUUAUAGGGGAGGCUUGACAAGCUCUAGAGAUUCUAGAGAAUUCUACAAUGUGCCUAGAAUUCUAGAUAUUUACAUGUGCUGGAAAUGUAUGGAGUAUUCUAGAAUAUUUACAAGAUUAUUUGUGCUAGAGUUGGCUAGAAGUUUCCGGAAUUGGGCCAAGCUAGCACUCUUGCCUUGUGUUGGCUCUCUAGCCCAAAAUUGUGGGCAAUUGGGCUAGCAUCUUGGGCGGUCCGUAACAAUAUGCAUGCAUGCCCACCAAUCAAUUAGACAUGUGAAAUUAUCAACCACACAGGAAAUCAGCAAAUCAGUGGUUUCAUGAAUUUGUAAUUGAACAUCAGAACAUGAAGAGUACAGAGCAAUGGGAAAAACUAAUUAACUAACCAAAGAAUUUUAAAUCCAAAUAAUAUAAUUAACGUGUGAAAGCAAGGUUGAAGCCCACCUUAGAAGUUUCUAUCUAUAAAGGCCAAUAAAUCUCCUGCUAUCUGCUUGCUUAGAUCUUCAUGUAUUUCCAUACACCUUUUACUCUACUCUGUUGUUCAACCUUCCUUGGUUUUAUGUAUCUAUUUUAUGUGUAUUGAGAAGGCUAGUUACUAGGUGUCAACUCUUCUCUUUAAAAGAUAAAGUUUUGAGAAAUGGAAAGAAAGACACCCACGGCCAACUACCAAAUCCAAGGCAAAAUUGGUCUUCCCGAUUGAGUAAGUGAGCCCUGAAAAUUCAUCACCCAGCUUAAAAGCCAAAUGAAUGUAGUCUUGUGAUUGGUGUAAUUGGUUUUAAAGAAACUAGCAUGAAUCGCCACUCAAAACCAGUAAAUAGAGUCGAAGAAGAUGCUAAUGUACCACAGCUAACAUAAACAUAAUUUGAUCAGCCGAAUGACUACCAAAUGAAAAAUCAACAUAAACUUAACAUAACCGUUAGGAUUUAAUCCAAGCCAUACAUAUCGGUAGACACGUUAGCAACAUGAUGUUACCAGUCUUUAACAUCUUUUGCAUUCAAACCUUGCUCAAGGACAACUGCUGUGGUCCGGUGCUGCAGGCCAAAAAUUUGAUCUUUGAAGCAACGUCACUCACCUACCUAGCUGCAAAAAAAAAAUUUUGAAAUGCCUUGAAAACCUGUAACAUUAUAUCCGAAUAAUUAUCACAUAACUUGUGCUUGUAACGUAAUGCGAUUGCAGUGCAUUCGUUAAGUGUACACUUAUCUGGCCAUUUCGUCGGAACAAAUUCUUUUGCUUCUCUCAAAAUGUGCAUAAUAAAUAGUAAUAUGAACAAAUACCUAUUCAUGAGUGUUAAGAUAUUUUUGCAUAUCUUUUUUUUUUAAGGACUAAAAGUGAUUAUUCAUUUUGUUGAUGCCCAUUUACAAUAUAUAUAUAUAUAUGUAUGUAUGUAUGUAUGUAUGUAUGUAUGUAUGUAUCUUGCUACCAUGAUCGUUGAGUUAUGAUCAUGAAUAACAUCUACCGAUGGUGUUUGGUUCAGAAAAUAGAUUAUUAUUAAAGCAUAACUAUAAGACUUUUCAAAUGAGACUUUACUUUUCAUAUAAAAAGCUACAUAAGUAUGGCAGAACUUUGGGGGCUGUAUCAAAGAAUAGAGAAGUAGAAGGAGAAACAAAUGGAAUAAUUAAGGAGAGGAAUGAGAUUCCGUUGUUUGGUUACAACUGGAAGUCAAACAUGAAAAAGGAACUGAUUUCUUUCUUCUUCUUUUUUUGAUGAAUUUGAUAUUUAACCGAAAAUUCAAAGUAAAAUCAAAUUCAUUUGUAAUACAAGUUCAUUUUAUUCAUAAAAUUUCACAUAUAGAAUAAAAUUUAUAGAUGUUUCAAAUACAAAUACAUAUUACUAUUCAAAAUAAUAAAAAAUUUUACUGCAAAAGAAAAUUUGGAAAAAAAAAUAAAACUGUUAAAUGGAGAAUGGAAUUGAGCAGGGAAAGUUUGGUAGAAGAUGCACACACUAAAGGUGGAAUUAUACCGUUAGUCAUUUUAUUAAAAAAAAUAAAAUAAAAAUAAAAACCUCGUUGAAUGAUUAUUUGCUAGGAUUAGAAAAAUUUAUGUGAUAAGCAAAACGAGAUGAAACCACAAUCUCAACCCUCAAAAUCAAUCAACCCCCAACAGUUUAGUCUCACAAGAGCUCUCUCAAACUUGUGCUUUCCCCCAUUCAUUCUCUUUACAAAUACAAGACUCGCAAAAAAUAAUAAUAAUGAUAAUAAAAAUGACCCAAUACCUAAUCACAAGAUAAUGAAAAUAUAGAUAACAGAUUAAAAAAGCAUGUGCCUAUCCUAAUUCCUGCUCUGCUAAGCCAUUUACGUAAUUCCUUUUCGGCUGAAAACAUUGCUUUCCCAACAAAUUAAUCAGUUAGACAAAUAUAUUUAAUUAUUAUAAUGGUUUGAUGACAUAAUUAUAUGUAUGUAUGUGUCAAACUCAUGAUUUGUCUUCUGUAUUUUGGACUGCUGCAGGGCAAUGAGCAGACAAAAUAAUACGUUCACUUGUUGCUAUAUCCUCGAAGACUACCAGAAGGAAGAUGGUGUCGAAGUGCAAGGGGAAAAGAUUUCCUGGGAGAACUCUUAGGGGAGGACAAUCUUUCAUGGGUGGAAAGACUUUCAGGCCUUUCAAGGCCAAGCCAGCUCCUGAAGCCAAAGGGAAGAAAUCCAAGGCUUAGGUCGCGAUUCUUUUUUUUUUUUAAUCUGAGAUCUAAAUAGAUCUAAAUUUAGCUAAAGUCUAAAUAAGUCUGAAUAAAAAUUUUUGAAUGACAUGUUUGUUUUUUUUCUUUCAACAUCUGAAGAAAAAAACUUAAAAGCUAGUAGUGUGACAUAAAAAUUAUUUUAAGUAGUGCAUAUAUUUGUUCUUCACAAUUUAUAAUUUUUACAGGUUGAUUAGUUUGGUAGCAUUAAAAAAAAUACUAUAAUUGUUGAUCUUAAUUUAAUUUUUUAUUAAAAGAUGUAAUUAUAAUAUCAAACUUUAUUACAAAGUCAACAUUGUUAUUUUAUUUCUGAUUCAUCACAAUGAACAUAAUUUGAUUUGUUCAAGAUUUCAGUUUAGCUAAUGUUAUCAUGUGAAUAAAAAUUUAAAGCAAUUAAAAAAAUAACUUCAAAAAUAAUACAAAAAUAUUAGGUUUAUACAUAAAAUUGGAAAUACAUGAAUUGUUAAGGGUAUUUUUGAGAUUUGAAAUUAAAUUUUUUCAUUUAAACUUCAUACUUCAAAUAAAAGUGAACUUUUUCUACUUUUUAAAUUCAGAUAAAAUUGUUUGAAAAUAAGUGAUAAGUUAAAAAAACCCUAAACUAAACAAUUGUCUGAAAAAAAGUUAAAUUCAGACUUCAGAUAAAAAAACAAACAAUACCUUAGUUUAGUUCAUCUAUUAAAUCCCGAGAAACCAAUUGCAGAACUAGUGGGAAAUCAAAUAUUUGUUAGUGGAAACAAAUACGAAACUGGUCCUCAAAUUAAUGUGUAAUGCAUUUUGCAAGAAAUUUGAUAGCCUGAUUUUGUUGUCCCCGUCCUGAACUUUUCAAGUUACCAAACCAGACAAUUAUGAAAUUUUGCUACUCAAUCUUGUAUUGUUGUAUUUCUUUGCUUCCAGUUUUCCUGAUCAGAACAAACAGCAUAAAUAAUGAUGCUAUAUUAAAAAAAAUUAAAAGAAUUUCACUCGCCCUUCAUUUGUUAUCAACAAUAUGAUAUUGCCUGGGAUCUUUCGGCUUAAUCUUCCAGUGCCCAUUAGCCAAACUUGCAUUCUCAGCAAUUCUUCUCCAUUUCUUAAUCCUUUUAUCCAUAUGCUUUGUUAAUGCACAGUACUGUUGCAAUUUCUUAGGCAUUGCAUCAUAAACUUGCCACCAUUUCUUAUGAGCUGAAUCACUGGCAAAUACAUGGCGACUCACCAUGUCCCAAUUGCAAUCAUAGUCCUUGUAACACAUCCAUGGCUUUAACCCCAGAUAAUGAAUUGCAUAAAGACCAUCACCCACUUGAUUUUCCUUAUCGUCUUGCUUUGAAAACACCUUCAAAUGGUUUAUUCUCUUAGGCAACCUAUGCCACCAUGUGAACACUUCAUUAAGAAACCCCUGGUCGCCCCCAUUGUACGACGAAACCUUAAAGGAUUUCAACAUCAAAUCUUCAAACUUGCACAAUGAUGGCUCAAUCACCAUCACCCAGAGUUGAACAACACUUUGUCAUUACCUGCUGCUGAUAAUUCAGGGUAAAAGAAGAACUCAUCGAUGUUUUUGAGUACUAAAAGAUCAGAAUCAAUGAAGAUAAUUUUAUCAUAUUCAAUGAGUUGCCAUACUCUAAGCUUGCUAUAAUUCCACUCAUUGUAUGAAUCUUUCUUGGCAAAGGGGCUCCGUAUGCGCGAAAUCCACUUGGUUUUCCAUCCGGCAGCUCUCAGGCCGCGUAGAGACUUGCCACUUAUUGAUUUAUCGUGAAGGAGAACGAGAUCCCUGCUCGAGUUUUUUUGGAUUAUGCUUUGCGCUAAAGCUAUUGCUCCACAUACAUAAGCUUCUGAUGAAUGUUGAACUGUUACAUAAGCUUCUCUUUGAUGGUACGUUGUGUAGUUCAGUUUUGCUAGUCUCGCUUGUGACAUAAAAUAUCUCCAUAUUUCUUUGCCUGUAAAUCAAAAUAAAAACACUCAAAUAUUAAUUUCAGGUUAAUUUUGGAAAAUUAAGAAAAAUGAAUUACAUAUGAAGGUUUUGAAGAAGUCGUGGCGUCUGAAUUACGUAAUACUUUCACGGAAAUUGAAAGUGCAAUUCUCUGAGUUACCAAAUUUUGAUGCCUUGCCAAAUUUUCACACAAUCAGAAUCAUGACUGCUGGCUGUAUACAUUCUGUAUCUGUAGAUUAUUACAACUCUUUAAGGAUAUCAAAAUUGAAGAAUAGGUCAAAUUUAAACCAAUCACACCUAAGCACGAGUUAUGCAUAUUUAAUUUGGAUUUGUCUCAUUUAUUAAUGCUGAACGAAUAAUUUACUAAAACUUGAAACUAAAGAAAGCAGUAAAUUAAUGACCCACCAUGACCAGAUAAAUCACCCACUAACCUUUUUUUUUUUUUUUUUUUCCUUCGGAACACCUCAAAUUUCCGAAGAAAAUUUAAAUAAAAUCUCCUGCAUCCAUUUCUUGUGAUCAUUUUAUAUUUUUUUAUAUGCAACAAGCUUUCAUUAAAAUUUAAGACUCUAUCCUCUAGAAUAAACUCCAAAACAUAUAUCGAUUAAAAUCAUAAUAUUUUCUUUCUCACCAUAAAUUCGCCUAUAUAAGCGACCAUUAAAGUAGGAAAAAAAAAAAUAACAAUAAGAGCUUAAAUACUACUUCGUAAAUAAUUAAGAAAUAUGACAAGCAUGGUAACUACACUAAAAAUACUAAGCAGACAAGAACAACAACCACAAAUUCAAAAAGAUUUUUAUGAAAUUUUAAGGCACAUUUGGUUAGAAAAUUGUACUUGGGAUUUUCUUCUUCAAGUGAUCACUAGCUUUUCUUCUGUUUCCAAACUACUCACUAUCUAAAACACAAACAAAAUAUUUUCGAAAAACCGGGGCCAAAAAAAAAAAAAAAAAAGAAGCAAAACUCACCUGUUUGAGCAAAAGCAGGAGCAAUUUGGCAUGACCCAACAGGCAUCAAUACUUUAUGUUUCAAUCGCCUCAAGUCAGGCUUCUAAACCAAGUAAUCCCCUGCAUUCUCCACAAGAUCAUCACACCUGAACAUCUCCACCAUGGCCCCACAAGAACCCACAAAGACAACGUACGCCCCCCGAUCAACAUCUGGUUUCACCCAUCCACUCUCCACCGCUAGAUUCACCACCACGAGAUUCACUUGCAACCUAAACACAUCCCUCAUCCCACCACUUGCAUCUCCAUCUCCUCGGCAGGGAACCCUAUCCACUAUCACGUCGAGGUACCGGUAAUCCUGCGCCGGCAUGGGCAUCUCCGGGCACGCCGGUGGGGCCCACUUGUGAUCUUCAUCAAUCCACUCCGGGAAAAAGUCUUCCCACUUUUUAUCCUUGCCCACAUGGUCGAAACGUACGUGAACAGUUUCAACAUGCAUGUCACCACGGACGCUAUUAUAAUCAUCAUCAUCGUUUAUAUUUACUAAACCAACUUUAAUUUUGUGACCCUUGAUGUGUUUUUGGAUAAUUUGGGUCUGUGUAAUAAGUGGUUAGUAUUAUAUUUAUUAUUUGGCUCGUAAGCCAAAUGGGUUGUUGUUUAGGUUUGAAUGACAAAACGACGAGGAAAAGCGAGAAGGAGAGGAGAAGAAGAGAGAUUAUGAAGAGCUUUUGACUGAAAUUUGUGGGUUUGUUAGAAGCAGAUGGUGAAGAUGAUGAUGAAGCUGCAGCCAUUUGAUCGAAUUUUGCUUCACGUCUUUGUAGAAAGUUGAAAGAUUUGUUUUGAGUCGACAUUUUGUUUUAGGAAAAUGAUAUUCGGCCCACCACGAGAACAUAACGAAGCCAGAAACGCAAGUUUCCUCUGCCGUUUCAAAGUUUUAGAUUUAAAAAUUAAAAACAAAAUUUACCAUUAAAAAAAAAUAAAAGCUAAUGAAAAGAAAUUAAAAAAUCUAAAUUAUUAUCCAUCCCCUCACUCACCCCCUCUCUAACUCACCCGCUCUGUCUCUCUAAUUCUUAUCCCUCCUCUCAGUCACCCCCUCUCUGACUCACCCGCUCUGUCUCUCUCACUCUUACCCACGAAGCUCGUUCCCCUCACACUCACCCGCAAGCUCACUGUCAAAAUUUUGCUCAGAUCUCAGCUAACACAUCAUCAAAACCGCAACGAUGACGCUAGGCUCAGGAGGAUCCAGUGUUGUGGGUCAGUUUCUUCUCUGAUCUUGCCCUUUUUUGUUCAAUCUGUUUAUGCCCUUGAUUGAUUUAUUCUCUUUGUUUUGGGUGGUUUUCUGCAGUCUUAUGAACAUUUUUUUUUUUGGCAUAAAUGCAUGCGGGUUGCUAAGUUUAAUUGUUAAUUAGACCUGAUCCGCAAUUCUAUGCGUUUUUUGAAUUUUUGAUCGCGAAAUUUAGUUAAUUUAAUUUAAUAGUGUUGGAUCAUCAUCACUAUUAAAUUAAUAGUUAAAGAAAUUCUUUUGACACGGGCUUUAUGAAACCUUGUAUGUGAUACUUUGCUUAUAAAAGUAUUUGGAUUGUUUUUUGUAUUUAUAUUUUAAAAUUACUAGAAACAAGUUAUUUGAAGUGUGAUACUUUGUGAAAUGUUAAAACCUUAUGAUUUGGUUGUAAUUUUGUUUUUGCUUAUAUAUGUUUACGUUUGUUGGCAGUAAAGCAUAUAUUGCUAAUCCAGUAAUUGCAGCUUGAUUCUAAGGUUCUUUUACCUUAUUAUGCAAGGUAACAAAAUUAGUCAAAUUAUGAAUAAAAUCUUUUACACUACACAAAAAUUUAUGCCAUUUAGUCACGUAAGAGAAAAGUUAUUUGUAUUAUACAUAACUUGAUUGAAAUGAAAUAAUAUAAUUGUAAAAAUUAACAAAGUCAAAUAAAUUAUACGCAACAAUCUAAAUCUUAUAAAUUCUUAAAAAUUCCUACUCUUUGUAUAUGGUAAGGUAAGAAUUUUGAGAUCAGUCUUCAGUUUGACAAAAAAAUUAUAUCCGAACUCAUAGUCUUUCCUUAGUGAAGCAAAGAAAUUCGUGACCAAUAAUGUGAUCAUAUAACCACUAGGUAAGAAAAUUAUGUAUCAUACAUAAGUCAAUAAUUAUAUUUUUUAAAAGUUAAUUACAGUAUAAUUGAAUGACAACCUAAUUUUCUCCUACCCAUGUGAGCUAAGCGCUACAUAAGAAUGAUAUUUUUUGAAUAAUAACAAAAAGUACAAGUAAAUAAAAUAUAUUUAUUUAAGCUAAAUGCUACGUAAGAAGUUCCUUUUAUAUACUAGUCUAUGUCUCUCUUCCUCUCUCUCUUUCUCUCUCAUACUAGUCUCUCUCUCUCUCUUUCUCUCUCAUACUAGUCUCUCUCUCUCUCUCUCUCUCUUAGGAGUAUUUUAUCGUACAAUCUAGGUAUUUUUUUAAGUUCAUUUUUUAAAAGAUUGGAGAGUGGAUCAAAUCUAAAUCGAUUUUUUUAGCCUUUACCUCCCCUAAAAUUCAAAAUGUAUUAACUAGCUAAAUAAAAAUACUUGAAAAUUGUUUGACUAAGUCAUUGAGGCCAUAAUUUAAACACUGAUAGAUAGUUAAAAAGUUCCAAUAAAAUAUGAUCAUCUAAUGGUGUCUUUACAGUUUUGUAACCACAACCAGUACAAUGUCUCUAUCAAAUGACAUGUUUCUACCCAGAAUCAAUUUCUUUUUUACUAUAUGGAAUUAUCUGCUCAUGGGUUGUCUGCUCAUGGUUUGUCUGCUCAUGAGUUCUCUGCUAAUGGAUCGUCUGCUCAUGGAUUGUCUACUCAUGGAUUGUCUGCUCAUGGGUUGUCUGCUCAAGGAUCGUCUGCUCAUGGGUUAUCUGCUCAUGGAACAUCUGCUCAUAGAAAAUCUGCUCAUGGUGCUAACUAAUCAGCGGCUUCCCACCAAACAAAUUUAAUGUUGAUGCAGGGAUCUGAGAUUCGAUCAACUCAUCCAGAUUUCGGCAUCAACAUCUAGUGCCGUCUGUGGGGACCGGUACGAGAAGCCAAUUUUUUGUCUCUAUCAAUUUUCAUCUAGUCGAAGCAAAUCAGAAUGUUACAGUGCAUAAAUGGAUGAGCUUGCUUAAACAAGGAUGCAAAAACCUUAAACGAGAGCACAUUGAAAGCACACGUUUGUAAAAAUCAGAACAAGUCAGAAGUUAAAUUUUUAUUUACAAGCAAUUUUUUCAUGAAAAUUUAAUUAUUUCUCUAAAUCCUGCUAUGUGAGAUGAGGAUACCUUAUAUUCAUUAAAUUGAUUGUGCUCAUGUUAGGGCUGACGGUAUAACUUAGUUAACUUGAUUUCUUGAAAGUUACUCAAUAUGAGAAUGAUUUAAGAAAGGAGAGCUAGGCUAGCGUUGAGAAGCCAAUCAAAGUUUACUAAUAAGGCGUGCAAAGGCUCCAAAGUCUCAAAGCCUAUUUUAUGGCGAGACAGGAAGCCAAGCAUGCCAGGAUCUUCUCGACCAAGUGAAGGCGAGCAGACCACCAAAGUUCCAAAAAGUUUCUAAGGCGUGCAAAGGCUCCAAAGUCUCAAAGCAUGUUUUAUGGCGAGACAGGAGGCCAAGCAUGCCAGGAUUUGCUCGACCAAGCAAAGGCGAGCAGACCACCGAAGUUCCAAAGAGUUUCUAAGGCGUGCAAAGGCUCCAAAGUCUCAAAGCCUGUUUUAUGGCGAGACAGGAGGCCAAGCAUGCCAGGAUCUGCUCGACCAAGCGAAGGCGAGCAGACCACCAAAGUUCCAAAAAGCUUCUAAGGCGUGCAAAGGCUCCAAAGUCUCAAAGCCUAUUUUAUGGCGAGACAGGAAGCCAAGCAUGCCAGGAUCUGCUCGACCAAGCGAAGGCGAGCAGACCACCAAAGUUUCCAGUCUUGAUUCGUUUCACUCUCAACACUAGAAACUAGGGGUGUUCAGAAUCCGAUCCGAUCCGUUCAAUCCGUCUGAUCCGUAAAAAUCCGAUCCGUAUAAAUCCGAUCUGUGGAUUGGUGGAUUGGAUUGGAUUGAAAUUUUAAAAAUCCGCAAUCGGUGGAUUGCAUAUGGAUUUACUUCUGUGAAUCUGCAAAAAUCCGUGAAUCCGCAAAAAAAAAUAUAUUUAUUUAUUUAUUUUAAAAAUAUUAUUAAUAUGAUAAUUAUAUAAACACCAUAAUAUAAUUUAGUCAUUAUUUAAUAAAAUUAUAAAAUAAAAAAUAUUAAAUUAAUAAUUAAAAAAUUAAAAUAAAGUAAAGUCAUCAAGUAAAGUAACAUAACAAUCAUUAUCUAAUAAAAAUAAAAAAUAAAAAAUGAUCAAAUCGGUCAAAAAUUAUUGAAAUAAAGUCAUCCUCAUCCAAAACCAAAACGAAAGUUAAAGCUUUUGUUAAAAAAAAAAGUAACAAUGACAUAAAGUCAAAAGUAAAUUAGAUAACGCCAAAAGCAACUAGCAUUAGCAAUUUAGCAUAACGUAAAAUCGCAAAUCAGUGGUCACGACCUGCAAACGAAAAAAAAAACCCUAAGCUGCUUCUUGCUUCCCUGCCAUUACAGUCACGCACGAUUCCGACGAGUACUAUUAAACCUUACCACGGUGUUUCUAUCUCCUUCUCCAGGUACAAUACUCGUAAACAUUCUCCUAAUUUAUUAUUUUGAUUUUAUCUUUGAUAACAUUUGUUCUGAUUUUUUUAAUUAUUAUUAUGUAUCUUCUUUUUUGUCAAUGGUGACUUAAGAUAAUGAUUUUGAUAUCCUUUUAUUAAUAAUAAGGUUGUUGGGGAUCGAGGGAGAGAAUUAUUUAUUGAUUGCAUGUCUUAAUUCGGUUGCUUUUGCUUUUUGUUCUGUGGUAAAACUGAAUUUGUUAAUUUCUUCUUUGAUGGGCUAUUUUUUUAAAAAAUGAAGAUUAAAGAGUUGUUGUGGGGGGUGGUUGAAUAAUGUUGCUUCUGUGAAUCUAACAAUCAUAUUGCCUUUUCUGGAUGUAACACAUGAAUUUCGUGAUUUUUCUUUUUGAAUUGGCUUCUUUUACUUUUCCUAACUAAACUCUUUUAAGCUUAAUUUGUUCCUGUCAUUUUUCAUAAUUAAUUCUAAUGAUUUUUCAUAUUGGUGGUGUAGAUGACUUCUCAAUUUGAUAAAGGAAAACGUGUAGCUGUAGAUUCAGCCCCCCCCAAGUUCUAAAUCAUCCAGUAAUGCUGAAGGUACACCAAAUAAAUCCACUACUUCAGAAGCUUGGGAGCAUUUUAUCCAAUUAAGUUCUGAUCCACUGCAUCCUAGAUCCAAAUGUCGAUAUUGUGGAAAAGAAUAUAAAUGUGGUUUUAAUAAAGGAACAUCUAAUUUAUUGGGUCAUAUAAGAGAGAGAUGUCUAAAAUAUCCUGGUCGAGCUCGAGUGGACAAAAAACAAAAAACUUUGUCUUACCAACCAGUGAAAAUUGGAGAGUCAUGUAGCCUUGUAUCAACGACCUAUAGUGUUGAGGCUUGUAGGGAAGCAAUUGCUAAGUUUAUUAUAAAAGAUGAGAUGUCAUUUAGAGUUGUAGAGGGUGAAGAGUUUAGGGAAAUGUUGGGAGUUUUUGAAAAUAGAUUUAAAGUACCAUCUCGCACUACUAUUGCUCGUGAUAUUUUGCAACUUUACAAAAAAACAAAGAAAGAUUUAACUAAUUUUUUUGUUAGUAGUCAUCAAAGAGUUUGCCUCACUACAGACACAUGGACUUCAGCUCAAAAUCUUUGUUAUAUGUGUCUUACAGCUCACUUUAUUGAUGAUAAUUGGACAUUACACAAAAAAAUAUUGAAUUUUUGUCAAGUUGCUGACCAUAAAGGUGAAACAAUUGGUAGGCAAAUUGAAACAUGCCUAUUAGAUUGGGGUAUUGAGAGAGUUUUUACAGUAACGGUUGAUAAUGCUUCUUCUAAUGAUGGUGUUGUCUUUUAUUUGUCAAAAGUUGUGAACAAUUGGAAUAGUGCAAUCUUAGGGGGUCAAAAUAUGCAUUUGAGGUGUAGUGCACAUAUAUUAAAUCUCAUUGUUGCGGAAGGGUUAAAAGAGUAUCAUCAGUCGAUUUCUAAGAUUCGCAAUGUUGUAAGAUUUGUUAGAUCUUCACCUUCUAGGACGCAAAAGUUUAAGGCAUAUGCAGAGCGAGAGAAAAUUUCUUCAAAUAAGUUGUUGUGUCUAGAUGUCAUAACUAGAUGGAAUUCCACUUUUUUCAUGUUAGAGGCUGCUGAAAAGUAUGAAAAAGUAUUUGAUCGGUUAGAGCUUCAUGAUGCACAAUACAUUCGUGAGUUUUGUUUGAGCUAGCCAAAAACGUGUCCUUCAUCAAUUGAUUGGGAAUAUGCUCGUUAUUUCAUUAAAUUCUUGAAGGUUUUUCAUGAUGCCACUUUGACAUUUUCGGGUUCUUUAUAUGUGACAUCCAAUAAUUUUUUGCGCCAAUUAUGUUUGAUUCAUACACAAUUGCAAGCUUGGAGGGAUAGUAAGGAUUUAUUUUUGAAGAUAAUGGCUGAAAAUAUGAAAAAGAAGUAUGAUAAGUAUUGGGGAAAUUAUGAAACAAUCAACCCUUAUUUGUUUGUUUCUAUUUUGCUUGAGCCUCGACAUAAAGAACGGUUUUUGAGAUAUUGUUUUGUAGUAUUGUUUGGUGAAUUUAAAGCUAAUGAGUUGGUUGUUAAAGUGCGAAAUAAUUUACAUAGUUUAUAUGAGGAAUACAAAUUGCUUUAUGGUGAUGAUGUGGAAGUAAUGGAUGCUGUCAAUGAUGAAAAAGAUUUAGAGGUUGAUACUGAGGUUGAUGCUAGGCAAAUGUUUGAUUCGGGUUAUAUGAGGAUUUUAAAAGACAACAUUUUUGUAGAGUGCAAAACAGAAGUGGAUCUUUACUUGUUAGAAUCAUGUGAGAACCCAGAAAAUGAGAGUUUUGAUGUUUUGGAUUGGUGGAAGAUUAAUUCUUCCAAAUAUCCAAUUUUGUCCUAUGUUGCUCGAGAUAUUUUGGCCAUGCCUGUUUCCACUGUGGCAUCUGAGUCAGCAUUUAGCACUGGUGGGCGUGUUCUUGAUCCACAUCGGUGCUCACUAUCUACAAGGACGGUGGAGGCAUUAAUUUGCACACAAAAUUGGCUACGUUCAACUCCGAUAAAUCUUGAUGAAGCAAUAGAUGAGAUUGAACAUAUUGAGACAGGUAAAAUGUAACAAUUUAACUUUAAUUUUAUUUUUUGAUUAUUAUUUGACUUUAUAUUGUUAUUCUAUUUUAAAAAUUGACAUUUUUCUUAUCUUAUACGUACAGAGAUUUUGGGAGCUGACAAGAACAUAUUUGAUGAAGCUUGAUGGCAUUUGAUGGGAUAUAAGGGUAAAUAUUUAUUAAUUUAUUUAUUAAAUAAAUUUUUUUAUUUAAUAAAUUUUUUAUUUGUUAUUUAUAUCAAUUAUGUUUAUUUUGUUUAGGCUAAAAUACGAAACACAAAUUGGAGAUGGAAGUUUUUCCUUUUGGUGUGUUUUAUUUUGAGACUUUCAAUGUAUUAUUGUGGCUUUAUUUGAACAAUUAAUUUUGAUAUUAUAUUAAUAUAUUAUUGUAAUUUUAUUUGAACAAUUAAUUUUGGUAUGUUAUAUUUUAAAACUUUAAACGUAUUAUUAUAGUUUUAUUUAAACAAUUAAUCUCGAUGUGUUAUAUUUUAAAAUUUUGAAUGUAUUAUUAAAACAAACAAUUAAUUUGUUUAAAUUUUAUUAAAUUUUAAAUUUAAUUGGUAGUAAAAUUAUUUUAUUUCGUAAAUCAAUUCGUAAAAUGAUGGAUUUGGAUAUGGAUUGAGUUAAAUCCGCAUCCGAUCCGCAGACGUAUGGAUUGGAUAUGGAUUGAGUCAAAUCCGUAUCCGAUCCGCAGAUGUAUGGAUUGGAUUUGGAUUGAAUUUAAUCAAUCCGUGGAUUGGAUUGGAUUGAAAAAUUAUAAUCCGUAAAAUCAUGGAUCGGAUAUGGAUUGAUGUCCAAUCCGUAAAAUCCGAUCCGCGAACACCCCUACUAGAAACUGGGGGACUGGUGUUCAGGGAAUGAAAUAGGGUGACUAAGAUAAAGGUGUUUGCUCAUACAUUAUCGUGCUCUCCUCAAAGUAAAAGUGAGCAAAUGGUUGAGCAGAUCACCUCGACCAGGAUGUUGUUUGGUGACCUCGAGCACAUCACCUCGACCAGGAUGUUAUUGGUCACCUCGAGCCGAUCAUCUCGACCAGGAUGUUAUUGGUCACCUCGACUAGAAUAAUAUGUGGUGACCUCGAGCACAUCACCUCGACCAAGAUAUUAUUGCUCACCUCGACCAGAAUAAUAUGUGGUGACCUCGAGCACAUCACCUCGACCAAGAUAUUAUUGCUCACCUCGACCAGAAUAAUAUGUGGUGACCUCGAGCACAUUUCCUCGACCAGGAUGUUAUUGGUCACCUCGACCAGGAAGUUAGUAGGAAGCACGAUUCAGUCAAAAUAUUUUCUCUGAAAUAUUAGGGACCAUAUUCUUAGUGGGCUGAAAAUUAGUAAUUUUCUUGAGAAUUCUAGGGGAGAGGAUAAAAACCGCUAUAGUUUCCUAUAAAAACCCUAGGAAGGGGAAGGAAAAAGGGGAUUCUUCGAGCUCUCUCUCUCUCUCUGGGCAACUGAACCCAUUAGGCCUUUUUCUCUCUCUACCACUGGGAAAUUUCUCUUUCGCUUAUGAUUUCUUUAAGAUUAAUUAUUCUCAAUUAUUUUCCUUUAAAUUUACUUAAAAGCUUUUUUGUUUAAAGCAAUCAUAAUUAAGCCACAUGAAUUGUGGUAUGGGUUUUUCUAAGUAAGACCCAAAUCGCUGACUUGAGCGUCUGAGGGUUCUCGCCGGAAAAACUUCCGGCACCUCCUGACUGUUGGUUGAGCUCACAGGCUCACAGGCUCACAGGUUGUCUGUUCAUGGAUUGUCUGCUCAUGGGUUAUCUGCUCAUGGGUUGUCUGCUCAUGGUUUGUCUGCUCAUGAGUUCUCUACUAAUGGAUCGUUUGCUCAUGGAUUGUCUACUCAUGGAUUGUCUGCUCAUGGGUUGUCUGCUCAUGGGUUGUCUGCUCAUGGAUCGUCUGCUCAUGGGUUAUCUGCUCAUGGAACAUCUGCUCAUAGAAAAUCUGCUCAUGGUGCUAACUAAUCAGCAGCUUCCCACCAAACAAAUUUAAUGCUGAUGUAGGGAUCUGAGAUUCGAUCAACUCAUCCGGAUUUCGGCAUCAACAAAUAUGAUAGUUACUAUUUUACGUUUGAAAUAUUAUGUUUCUUCUGAAAGCUACCAAUCUCAUUUACAUUUCCUAGUCAAAGACUUAUUGAAAUCAAUUAUUUAUGCUAUUAAUUCAGUUAGUUAAGGAUAUACUUUAAAGUUUAAAUGAUAUGACAUUUAAUCAACCAACAAUACAACAUUUAUCGAUUUAAUAUUAAGAUAUCUAAACAAAAUGAGAUGACAAGAUCAGUACUCAACAUAUAAUUUAAUUUUAAUAUAACUUCUUUCAUAAAUAUUGAUACAAUAAUAUUGUAUCAAUAUCAUGUCACUUGUUUUACUUUAUUUACUUAUUACUUAACUCUUUUAGCACUUAUACGUCACUCAUAAACUUGUAUAAAUUUUGUAUGCAUCGAAUUGUUGGGAUUAAAAUUCAUAGAGUUCAACUCUCGUGCACGAACUUAGGAUUUCUCUAUUAAGUUUACUUGAAUAUGAUUAUAUUUUUGUUAUAGUUUAUAACCUCUUUUCAAUUUUUUCGAUAUCUAUGAUUUUCAUUAAAUCACUACUCUAGUUGGCAUUUCGCAUCACCCCAAUUGAUUAGUUGCUCUCUAAUCCAACAAAAUUAAUAUGGAAAGAAAUGAAUGGCCAGCGAUAAAUAUUCCAACAUUAUGCAUUAAGCCAUUCCACUCCUACAAAACUGAAUCUUUGACAGAAUGCUUUUUCACGUGAUCAUGUAUGUGUCAAAGUUUUGUGACAGAUAUAUUAUUUUGCAGAUGUGGCAAACACAGUCGUUUCAAAAUCUUAGAGGCCUUCAAAUUUUGAUUAUUCUAUAAGAGGAUAGUUACAAAAUUCUGCUACAAAUAGUAAAAGUUAAGUGAUUCUUGACAGAAUACUAUCAAAAGGUUUAAAUAAAAUCUCACAUCUUAAUAUUUUACAAAAAUGUGUUUUAAAUAUUUUAAUUUUUUUACAUAAUUCUAUCAAUGAACUUUCUUUUUAAAUUUUUAAUUCCACGUAGACAUUGAAAAAUGACCUAGUUUUAAAAGAUUCCAAUGAUUUAACUGAUGUGAAUAUAUCUUCAAUAAGUCAACGACAAAAUUCUAUGAAACAAAAUUUACUAUUUUAAUUAUUUUAUAUUGCCACAUCAAUAAACUAAAACGAUGAUAUUUCAUAUGCUCAAAAAAGAAAAACUUAUGUAGGUCGAGUUCGCCAUCUCAUCAUAUUAAAAAGGCGUGUUCAACCAAUAAGAAUUUGCCAUCUAAAAAGUUCAAUGGGUCUUUUGAAAAGCUUGGCUCGAGUCUGAGCCUGAGUGUUUCAGGUCGGACUCAGCCUAAGCUCGGGCAUAAAACACAAUAAAUGCUCAAAAAAUAAAAGAAUAAAUAUUUUAUUUUUAAUUAAAAUACACUUUUUAAUAUAUGUUUAACAUAACCAGAAGUCCAGAACAUAUAUUUAAAGUUUUAAAUUUUUAACAGAACUUUUAAUACCUAAUCUAAUAAGAAAGUUUAUAAAUUAUAAAUUUAUAGAAUACAAUGAAAAAGGUUUAAAAAAAUUAAAGUAUAAAUAUGAGGUUUUACAAUAAAAUAUCAAAUGGUGGCAAAAUGGGCGGCCAAAAAGUGCGCCAAAUCAAAAUUAUUCAAAAUUCCUCUCUUCAAUGCCCUUUUUAUUUUAUGCACCGCUGAUAUAAAAUUAACACAAAAACAUUCUGAAAUCGAAAGCUUGGAACGAAUCUCACGCCUCUCGCCUUCUCUUUCUCGCAUUUCGCAUUCCUCUUUGCCUCUCUCUCUCUCUCUCUCUCUCACACACACACACACACAUAAAUGUUAACCUCACCAGUCCUCACAAAUAAGCCGUUUGCUUUUAUCACUUGCUGGGCAAUCAUCUCCAAAAAUGAAACAACUGAAAUUCAAAUGGGAUAUUUAUUUUUCUCUCCAGAUUCUUUUCUCUGAAAUAAUGCUAAAACAAUUUUUUUUUUGUUUUUUUUGUAUAAUUUCAGCAAAGGUCCAGAUCGCUCAAGGCCUAAUUUCAUCUCAAGGUUUGUCUUUUUCCUCUUGAUUGCCUUUCGUUAUUGGUUUCUCAUGUGACAUUACUUUACUUUGUUCUUUGCUUAUUGUAAAUUUAUUCACGGUUUCUACAUUAUAAGUUACGGUCUUUGUUUACUUUUAUUAAAAAUUAUGGUAUAUGAAUAAUAAGAAUAAUAAUAAUAUUGGCUUGUUUGCGUAAUUGUCUUCGAUAUUGACUGUAUUUACAAGAUUCUCUGUGACAUAUUUCUUAUUGUGAUUGUUUAAUUAGUCUCGAUUGCAAUUUUUACAAGAUUUGAUGAAUGUUAAAAUUUAAGUAACAAUUUAAAUUUGUACACCAAGUGUUUGUUAUAAUGCCGUGUGUUAUCUUCAAUAGAUUUUUUUUUUCUUUAACACGUAGUAUAAGCCUGAUAAUAUUUUUCAAUUUCUUUCCAAGAUGCAGUUUUUGAUAAAGAAUAAAACAAAUGAUUGAGACUGUUUCGAUGCUAAUUUUUCAAAUUAGCGCAUAUUAUGCUACUUCAUCUCAAGCAACCUAUGAUGAUAGCUAAUAUUGAUGCAAUAUUCUGCCAUGCCUGCGGAUUCAACUUGCUAAGAUUUUGGUUAUGCCUUCAGGUUCAAGCAUUGUUGCUGAUUAUGUGAGCUGUUGAGAUUUUAGUAUUGAGCAUGGCUGCUUUAGAUUCAAUUUGAGCAAAUGUAAUUGUUUCCUUUUCUGUCACUAUAUUCUUACAAGGACUUUUUUGAUAGAAUAAAAUUAUGUCAGUAACAUGGUCUGUGACAAAAAUUAUUCUGUCAAAAAAAAAACUCAAUUUUGUAGUGAUUCCAAAUAAUGGUUUAGUUUCUUUCCUCGUUUUGUCAAUAAUUGAUUCUAUUCCUG